AAAAAAAUGAAAAAGUCAACCGAGUGAAAGAGAUAAAAGAUGUGAUAUCAGAAUGUACUACUGUUUGCUAAAGCUGAGGUGAAAGAACCAUCGCUUUAGAAACACCCCCCCCCCCCCCCCCACCACACCACUCCCUCCUCCUCCUCCCAUGGCGAUCUCCGGGGAGGACAGGUACGCGGCGGCCGGCGGUGGCGGCGACUCCGGCGGGGGGAAGCUCUGGAACCUCUGCCGCAUGCCCUUCUGGCAGCCCGGCGGCGCGCCGGCGACGGCGUCGGCGCCGCCGCCGCCGUCGUCGUCCUCGUCGUCGGCCGGGAUCCACCACCACUCCGCCGGGCGGUACGGCCACGAGGGCGGUGGUGGUGGUGCCGUGGCAGGGGACGGCGCGCCGGCCGGGUCGAUCUCGUCGGUGGCCAAGUCGCUGCUGCCGGCCCGCCGCCGCCUCCGGCUCGAUCCGCCCAACAAGCUCUACUUCCCAUGUGAGUGCGCGCGGGGAAUUCGGGGCUUGGGUUCGAGUGCUUCUUGGUUUAAUUGUGGGAUGCGGUCGUGAGGAGAGUGGGGAGCCGCGAUCUUUGCCUGGGUUUGUUAAUCUUGGCUUGUUAUGCUCGAUCUCCGCUGUUUAGGAGUGGGAAUUUAUGUGUGUGUGUGUGGGAGGAAGUCGCGAUCUUACGGAGUGAUUAAUGGGGGUUACUUAAAUUUAGUAGAAAAUGUACUCAUUAGGGCUCCGUUUCGGUUGGCUAGAGGAAACAGUAGCCAUUAUCGGCUCCGUUUCCCAUCUGGGUUUCUUGAUCUUAUCUCAGGAGGUACAAUACCCUCGAUCUCGGAGUUGGAUCUAGACCUGUGUGAAAUUCCUUGAGUAGAAUCUCUGACUGAAAUGUGCCGGAGCUGAGAUCUUGGGUAGAGAUACCAUGAUGCUUGUGCAGUUGAGGUAGAAUUCUGAUAGGCUAGUUUGUGUGCAAUUUUACUGCACUAGCCUAUAUGGGUGAAAGACUGUAAGCAGCGGCUGUAUGUCAGGUAUGGCGAUUGUUUUCUGUUAUGUGAUACUUAGUAGGUUAAACUCCUAUGCAUGAGAUCAGGGUCAGCUUCAUGCACCAUUUUGCUUUGGUUGACUGUUCAGGGUUCAAUUCUCAAGUCUUUAGUGAACUAAUGAUCAAACUGAGAAACAAGCAUGCUUACUUUCUCCGAAAGAAACAAAAUAUACUUACUGUACCAAUUUGCUACUAUUUCCUGAGAGCAUUGCAAGCUACAAUAUUUGUUUGUUCUAUUUGGUACUGUGGUGUUGUCAUUCCGUGAUUUGCUACUAUGUGUGUAAGGCUGUUAUGGAAAACUACGAUAUCUUUGCAAAUCUGUCAUUUUAAGAAGGUGGUUAAUAAAUUUGCAAACAUCCAAAGAUGGUCGUUUAGCCAAAAGUUCCUCUUUGUUUUGUUUGCAUAUGUGUUAGGGGUGGGGGAUGGGGUCUAAAUGCUUUCUUUGGUGUUUUUGUGUUUUUACUGUUACCAGAUCAGAAAGACAGAUAAUGAAUAGCCAAAGGAGUGGGUAGGUUUGACCCUGGAUAUUGUCGAUUUGCUAUAUGUGUGCUCUGUGGUGAGGUGCAGGGAGUUUGACGAACCUUAUGUUAUUAUGUGUGAUAACACCUACCCGUUAAAUAGAGAGUUCCCUAUUACCAUGAGCAGCAGCAGGAGAGAUAAAAAAGAAAAAGAAGGGGACUUCAGUUUUGCUUAUUAAUUGCUUUCCUUAUUGUUUGUCCUGCUAAUAGAAGUUUGCUACUUUCCUUGUAGAUCAACCAGGACAACAGGUGAGGAGCGCAAUCAGGAUAAAGAACACAAGCAAGUCUCAUGUAGCAUUUAAGGUUUGUAUGAUUGCAUUUGUAAUGCUUCCCACAGUUUUAACUCUACAGCAGUUGGGUUGAAAUCUGCAGCUUGAUUUCAGCAGUGUUUAAUGCUAGCUACUAUAUUGGUAAUGAAAGCACCUGACUGUUAACUGAUAUUUUAUCUUUAGUUCCAAACAACUGCACCCAAGAGCUGCUUCAUGCGUCCUCCUGGAGCCAUACUUGCCCCUGGGGAGACCAUCAUAGCAACUGGUAAUACAUCUGAUCACCUUCUUUACAUGAACAAUAGUAAGGCUUCCUGAUUUGCUUUAUGUUUGGUGCUUAUUUCUGUUUCCAUUUGAUUGACAGUUUUCAAGUUUGUCGAGCACCCAGAGAACAAUGAGAAUGUUCUACAGAAGUGCAAGGUUAAAUUCAAGAUUUUGAGCUUGAAGGUCAAAGGACCCAUGGAUUACGCACCAGAAAUGGUCAGUUAUUGUUUUUCUUAUAAACUUUUACUUUGGUCCAUUCUAUCUAGUAAGUCAUGCAGAAAGCAUUUUUCUAAUUGGCAGCAUUGAUCCAAAGAUAUAAAUACUUUUAAGAGGAUGAAAUUAGACUUACCGCAAAAUCUUGCAUAUGUUAUCUAUUUUCAGUGAUGUUAUAUUCCCAUUUAGCGGUGUUUGAUCCACAGGUAGCAAAACUAGAGAAAUAGGAGAGACCUUGGAGGUGAGGUGUGAGGACUGGGACUGACAGGACUGUAGCCGCAGGUGAUGGCCUGCGUGUAGGUGGGGAAGUCACUUGGUGGAUCUCAAGUUCUCAACAGUGUCCAGAUUACACCUGGGGUAGAAUGACCAAGCUAGCCACUUAGCCUGCUUAAUUGGGUAAUAAGUUCGGUAAUUAUGGACUCUUUAAUGUGCUAAGGAUUGUUGUUAAGAUUGUGAUCAAGGUGUAUUAAUUCAGAUUACGUCGUAUUAGAAGUGGGCACAACCCAUGCUCCCUGAUGCCUCUGUGGUGGCACUGAGGCAGAACAAAACAAAUUGACCAAUAGGUUGUGACUUCAUGAUUAGUGAAUUUAACAUCCAAGCUAACCUUAAGGGAUCAUUGAACUAGAAGUGGAAUUCCAGGUCAAAUUUAAUAGCUCUUGUGAGGACCUUUUGUAUAUAUUACAACAGAAAAAAUGCAAAGAUGUCAGAAACUUCCCUAAAUAAAAUUCGUUAUUGAGUACAUCUCUUUAAAGCAAGCUAUAAGAUAAAGUCACAAAGAAGUAAUAAGCCAUAGAAAGCAACAAUCAUAAAUAAAAAAUGUCAUGCCAAAGCAGAACAAAAUUGCCUUCUCAUGUGAUGAAGCCUCUUGUACGGACACAUGAACCAGGUUCAAGCCUACUACCUAUAAAUCCCAUGCGGAGAAGGAUGCCAGGAUGUUAACUGGAAUACUGGAUUCCUUCACUAUAAUUGUGUAAUUGUGCUGUCCAACUCUAACAUUAAAUCCUUAGUCUCUAUUGUUUUGCAAUGUUUCACAUGUCAUAUUUAUGCUAUAACAUAUGAAGGAUGGUCCGGGAGAUUCAGUAGAGUUGGUAUACGUUUUUUUCCCCUAAAGCAACGAGUUAGGGUGCCCAUCUUUACUGCAACUAUGCAUGGUCGUAUGUACUACUUUCAAUUUUUAGUGCAUUUAUCCUGAUCUGCAUCCCGUGGCUUUGGUUUGGAUCUUGGAUGGACACAGUUUUUAUGCUAGCAGUCCUUGUCCAAGGUAUGGUUUGAAUGUGAUGCAUAUGCCAUAUGGUUGAGGAAACCCACUGAACUUUUAUGUUUCACCACUCCAUUUGUUUUUAGCAUAUUAGUAUACCUUCCUUCCUGAUAUCAGUCAUCUAUUUAUAUUUGAUGUACCAAAGCAUGACUUAUUUUGUUUAUUGCAGUUUGAUGAGCAGAGAGAUCAAGCCGUAGUUGAGAAGAUCCUGAGGGUUGUUUUUUUGAAUGUUGAAAAUCCAGGCCCAGUAAGCAAAUAGAAAACUAUUUAUAUAUGCACGCAUAACUUUUUCAGCGGAAUAGAAAGUUCAAUAAUAUCUCAUUCAUGAUCUUAUUUUCUUUCAAAGCAACUGGAAAAGCUAAAUAAUCAGUUGGCUGAGGCUGAGGCUGCACUUGAGGCAAGAAAGAAACCUCCUGAAGAGAAUGGCCCAAAGAUUGUUGGCGAAGGGCUUGUCAUCGAUGAAUGGGUAUGUCUCUUCAAGUCAUGUGGCUCUGGCUCUUUCGAUGAUUUGUUCGUUUUCUCGUUGCUGAAAAAUCCUUCAUGUGUUAAUCACAGAAAGAACGAAGGGAAAGAUAUCUUGCACAACAACAGGUUGAAGUGGUUGACUCAGUGUAAAUUGUGCCUUUCUUCUGCUUCUACCGAAGCUAUGCCUAUAAUAUGGCUUCAGAAAUGUGCUGUGGCAUUCUUGUAAACUGCUAGAUUUUGUGGUUGGUAGUCUAGUGUGUGGUAGUCUAGUGUGUGCUUGCAGAAUCAGUCGCCAAAGAACAAUCUAACUCCCGUAUUUUCAGUGCUUGAUGUGUAACUAAUAGCACAUAUGUUCUAUUUUUUGUGUUAGUGCUAAAAUCUGCUUGUCAAAACAAUAAAGUUCACAAGCACACCUUCCUCUGUAUUGUUGGGGAAGGCACAUUCUAUCAUCAGCUUCUACCUGUUUUGUAUUGGUUUGUCAGUGAUCUGUGUUCAUUUUAUAGUGCCUUUCCAUGCCCCCAUGUAAUUUAGUCAAUAGCUAAAAAUAAUUAGCUAUUCAUCUUAUAUAGUCUUAUUACCAUUGUGACAAGUUUUGCAAUUCUGCUUUUGGGCAACUGAAUCCAGCUUUCGGGGCCUUUUCUUGACCUCAAAUGCCAUGCCUUUAGGAUGCAUCUCCCUUAAUGUCAAGUUUUUUUUUUCCGAUCCUGUUUUAUUUUAAGGUUUACAAAUUUCGCAAACAUUGGAUGAACUUCAAAUGAAUUUCGAUACAAGACCGAGCGGUUUAGGGAGCUCCAAUAUUUAGGUUACUAAAUUCAAAUGAAAUUGUGAACCCUGAUUCUGACGUUUGCAAAGGUUUUCUUGUGCGUCUACGCAUCUCGAAGGUUGCAAGUCGAAGUAAAUCAAUUUAUUUAUAUUACUAAAUUCUAUUUUCCACGAAAUACUAUCACGAGGUAAAGAUCUUAAGCGGUCCAGUUAGCACUUCUGUUACCCUAAACAAAGCAACCGGCUUCUCAUUGGAGUGACUGAAUGACAAAUUUAGUCUGAAUAAAAGAAUUAUCCAAUGUAAACAAGUCACUGUCAAAAGAUAACUGAUCUAAUAAACAAUUACCCAACGUCCUUAUCAACUCACAGAUGGCACCAACUUCUACUCUGCGACUUCUUUAAUCACCUCAUCAUGUCAAACACCAUCGUUAAUUCUAUAAUAACGCAUUAUAAAAACCACUUAAACCUUACCGAUUUCCCUGAAGGCGACCUCCACUUGCGAAGCAAAACGCAGUGCCUGAUCAGAAAGCUACAAAGAUGACGCUCCAAGAUGAGAUUCUCAAGAUCUCUACACCCAUAGUAUAAUACUUUGCAUUGGAUCUGAUGAUCUACGCGGUUAACUGCAACCUCUUGUCACUUUAUUUUAUUGGUGAUCCAACGACUAGUCCUACUUAAUUAACUAGUAAUCUGUAGUAUAUGCGUUCAGAACGUCCACAAUUAUAUGCGAGACAGGCGCUGCUGAUGUUAUUGAAGGUUACUGUAUCUGUCCUGCUAAUUUGUCACUGGAACAGUAGCACAUGCAGGUAAGCAGUUUGCAGCAAAAAAAAAUGUUUCAGCUAGGUUGCUGCACAUGUGUAAAUUGCACUGGAUAAACGUCCCAGAUCAGCAUGGUUAGAGUUCAGGAAGUUAGAACUUAUCCAGAAUUCCAGACCAUGAUGAUUUUCAGGAAAUCAAAGAGAGAGAUGAAAGAGCCCUAAUCACCAACCUCCUAUUAAACACUGCAGUAAAUGUGAAGCAAUAUAUGGGCCAAGGGAGGAGGGGUACUACUCCAACCAAAGUUUUUGCUGAAAGUUGCAGGGACUUAAAAACGGUGAUGCAAUUGAGAAUUGACAGGCACAGGCACAAUCAAUUGGAUGAUGUUGCAGUCUUGCAGAAAUGCAGAGAGGACAAGCCAUGAAGAUGAAGUCCACAUCCAAACCAGAUUGGCCUCGAGCUAUACCAUGGACUCUCACCUCCCUGAGCUCCUGGUUUGGAGGAACCUAUGGUCUAGCCAGCCACCUGUUUUCCCCAUCUGCCUCAAGAAACCAUUGGCCACUGUGCCAAGUUGGCCCAUGAACACCAACUGUAUAUAUAAACAUGCACAGGUAAGUUCACUGAUAACUUCUCCAUCUACACAUCACAAGUUCACAGCAAUUGCCAAGUACUCUCUGAGCUCUCAAGCUACAAGUUCUUAAUUACAUAGUAGCUUCUUCAGUGAUCGUGAGGUUAACAACAAGAACAAGAAACGAUGAGGUUUGUAUUGGUGAACAAGGCGUACAUGGCGGUGACGCUGGGCGCCGCCAUUGAGCUCAAGGAGCAAGUGGCAAAGCCGUGCUCGUCGGCGGCGAAGCGGGGCGCCUCGGUGCUCGCCGUCCGGCCCUCCUCGUCGGCGGCGACGGCGGCCGCGGCCGCCGCCGAGGAGUCGCUUAGGAUGGUCAUGUACCUCAGCUGCUGGGGUCCAAGCUAAGCGACUUAAGUAAUUAACCGUGUCAGACAUUUGCAUGGUCUGAUCAAAAGCAUCAUCAUCAUCGAGCAGAGCUGACUCGAUCCGGUUCGAGUUCUUGGCCAUAACAUGCGUGCUCGUGGAAAGCUCAAGAGAUCAAGCUUCAGAGAUCGAUGGAACAUGGCAGAAAAAUCUAUGUACAUUAGCUAAGAACGCAUGUACAUAUAUGUAUAGCUAGUUUCAACUUCCAAGUGCAUUCUGAGAGGGCUGUGAACUUCUCUGGUUUGUGCUUCCUUUUGACUUGAACAAAAAGAUCAUGCAAGCAGUUGCCUUGCUUGGACUCUGAAGCUUUGCUUUGGCGUCUAAAUUAAAUCAAGAUCCUACCUGAAUGGACAGUGCUGAACAGAUAGAUAAGUAGUAGUACUUAGCAUUUAGCAUUGAACUAGUUCUUGUCAACGAUAAGUAAUCCAAUCCAAGCGUGAGCUCACGCGUGCACUUUGAGUGAAAAUUCAGAAUUCUAGAUGGUUCGAAAGGCACAGGCUCGAUAAAAGUUCAGUUUGACGGCACCACACACUUACAGAUAUUCGUCGCGGAUGAAAAAGUCGCCAAGAUACCAUUUGCAAGUGGUGUAAACUUUGAGGGCGUCUCUUUGAAAUGUAGGAUAAAAUUUUUUAAAAAAAAACAUAGGAAACUGUAGGAUUGCGUGUGUAUAACAAAAUAUUGGAACAUACAUGAAUUUUAUAGACGUGUUGUUUGAAACAUAAGAAAAAAAAAUAAAGAUAUAAGAAUAUUAGAAUGAACACGAAUCUCAAUGCAUUUUAUUACUCACAGGAACAUGCAUGCUAAGCCAUGGGUAAAUGGGUCUUACAGGAACAAUAGUCCAUUAGCAAAGAAUGAUGUGGCCAACAGUGGGCCACCAAAGAAAAAAGAAGAGAGUUAUAGGUACUUAUCAGGAUGGUAUAAGUUGGUUUUCAGGUGGACAAGAGAGGGAGAUCAGGACAGAAAGGCUUUUACAAGGACAUACGUUUAUUCUAUAGAGUACCUACUUAUACACUUUAGGUGCUUAGGGCAGAAAAGAAAAGGAGUUGCUAAGUGGAGAAUAAAUGCCUUGCUUUAAUUUGCCUUUCAACAUGGAGACACUAUGCAUAACACUUGUUUCUCCAUAUAUUGAUAUAGGAAGUAAAAUGCUCAGCAAAAUAGGAACCGAGGGCUUGUUUAAUUUGUUGCCCAAAUCAACUUCCUAAAAUUUGUUAAGCCAAAUUUCGGCACAUUUGGCAUAGGGCUCUUUUGGAAUUAAUGGAGUAUUUUUCAUAGGGAUUUCAUAGGAUUGAAAUCCUAAAGAAAAAUUUUCUAACUAAGUUGAUUGGGACAUAGGAUUGAAAAUAUGAAAAUUCCUAUGAAUUGCAAUCCAUAAGCAAUUCCAAGGGAUUUUACGCACGCGCUCCAACCCUAUUUUGAUUUUUUUUUUCUUUGACAAGUCCAAUGCUUCUUCUCUCUAAUUUCCCAUGAGUUAUCCAAACUCAUCAUUGCAAAUUCAUGUAUUUUGCAUUCUUGUAGGAUUUUCUUACAUGUGACAUCUCAUUCCUAAUUUUUUUUCUGAUCCCGUAUUUCUAAAAUAAAAUCAUGUGUUUCAGAAAAGCCCUUAACCAUAUUUCAAUAUUAUUGAUGUGUUUGUUACAGUCUUUUUUUUUAUGUUUUUUGAGUUUGGGAGGAAACUUUUUGAACUAAUACCAAACUUUAGCAUGGUGACAAUAACAACAGUAUAUUUAGGGUGUGUUUAGUUCACGUUAAAAUUAAAAGUUUGAUUGAAAUUGGAACGAUGUGAUGGAAAAGUUAGAAGUUUGUGUGUGUAGGAAAGUUUUGAUGUGAUGAAAAAGUUGGAAGUUUGAAGAAAAAGUUGAGAACUAAACCCCGCCUUAGUUUCUUAUAAGAGCAGGUACAAUAGCAGACUAUUAGCCAGCUACAAAUAUAUUUUAAUGAGAUAAAAGAAUAGAGAGAAAAGCAGCGGGCUAUAGAUCUACAGCUAGCUGCAGCACGGACUCCAAGACGCAACGUGUGUAUAACAGGUGGGACCAUAUACUAAUAGUAUAGUAAGCAAUUAUUGUAUGAAUUGGCUAUUAAAUUAGUUAUAGAUGAAUUGGAGUUAGUAGUGGCUAUACUAUUAAACUUGCUCUGAGCAACCAAAAUGUGAUAUAACAGGGGUUCAAAGUGACACAAACAAACUAGAGUAAACAAUCCGUGAAAUACAUGACUAGUUUGGUUUAAAGCCUAAAUUAGACUUACCAAUAUUUGGUAUUUUCAAUAGUGUUUAGUGUGUAUUUGGUUUGAAGCUAAAUUUUAGUAUGCCUAAGAAAAUAUGUCAUUUCAAUAGUGAACUUAGGCUAUUUUGACUUCAAUCCAAACACAACUUUACCUUACCAAAAUUAGACAUGUCAAAACUUGUCAAAAUUUGGCAUUGAUAAAAAUUAGUAAAGGCUAUUUAGUCCACAAACUAAACCAACCCACAGAUCCCAACACCAAUAAUUGGUGCCAUGUCAGGAAACAGGACAAAUUACCUCGUCCAUGCCGUGUCAGCCAUCAAACAACAAUUGCCCCUCUUGAACACCGUAAAAUAAAGAGCAGGGGAGAAGUGGACAAAGGAGUGUGGAUGUAACGGAAUCCGAAAGACGACGAGGCUGUGGACGUGAUGUGCCCAAACUGCCCCUCGUCGGAAAGCGAUGACUCACCACUGCCCCCCUUCUCAGGAUAAGCCCUGCCACCUGUAGGCUGUAGCACAGUAGCCGCAUUUUCUCCUCCUCCCACGAUAAUAUCGGCACGAGAAUUCGAUGUCAAAGUUGGCUAAACUGUACUACUACUAGUAUAAACUGAUCCGUUUCUGCGUCGUCGUCGUCUCGCGAGAAGGAGGGCGAGAUGGCGGGAGAAAACAUGUGUACAGGUCCCAGCUGAGAGGAGGAGGUGGGGGAGAAAGCGAAAAAGCGAAAGUGCAAAACCGCCUCACAAAAACCAUCAGCCGCAAUGGCCGAAACGACCUCCCCUUCGCUUCCCCGCUACAAAUACCGCCCCGCCUCCCCCAUUCUCCCAUCUCCGAAACCCAUCAUCGGUAGCAAGCAGCACCGCGCCGGAGGAGAGGCGAAGAAGAGGGGGAGUGAGUGAUAUAGUGAUUAGAGAUGGCGCAGCUGAGCCGGGUGUGGGUGGCGGCCACGGUGGCCGCGGUGCGGGCGCAGCGGGAGAGGGCGCCGGCGGCGCGGGAGCGGGUGGCCGGGCUCGCGCCCCAGGCGGCCGCGCUCGCCGCCGCGCGGGCGGCCGCCGACGCCGACGGCCGGAGGCAGGCCGGCGCCGACGAGUCGCUCCGCAAGGCCAUGUACCUCAGCUGCUGGGGGCCCAGCUAGUGGCAAUUGCGGGGGCCGGGUCGAACGGGCUUUGGGCCUCGGCUGAACGGGCCGGGCCGGGCUGGGAUGGGCCCCAUGGGGGCAGCCGGGUAGGGUUGUUAGCUAGCAUGAAGGCGCUUUGAGAUGUGGGGGCUUUGGUUGAUGAAAACUUGGAAUUAACGGCUGGAAAUUGUGGGGAUUGAGGCUGGUGGCUGUAUUGUACAGCCACGGUCAUGGUGAUUCCUGUACAUAUUUCAUGGAAUCAAUUGAAAAGGAAAAAAAAAAGUAUUUCAUCAUCUGGGAAACUACACUAGACUACUCCAUGUACCUCCAUGUAGUAGGCUACAUGGAUGAUGGAUAAAAUUAUUCAGUGGAUGAUCCAAUUAUCCAAACACAAGUUAUUUUUCUUGAUAUUUUUUCUUGAUUGUUACGAAAAGCAUGCAAAAUAGGCAUUGGGCUGUGCGGCACUCGACCGUGAGGCAAUGAAUCCAAUGAUCACUUGUGUUCAUGCUCCCGUGCACAAGAAAUUGCAUGCGGCAUGCCUUGCAACUUGCAAGUUCUCUUUAUUUCUUUUUGACUGGAUUUACAACUUGCAAGUUGUUGGCAAACCAUGAAACCAGCAGGAUGCUCCAAAACCAGAGCGCUUCCCCGAAACUGCACGAUGACACGAACAAAACGGAGCUCGAGCAAAGGCUGCACAAUUUCUUGCAGCCUGCGGCAGCUUUCCGUAGGUGUACAAGAUCAGAUUCGAUCUCCGGAACUCCAGAAAUUCAGGCGGUCCGGCUCCGGCCUGACCUAGUCGCACAGGGUCGCGGGGCGCCUUUCAACUUGCCAUCCUUUUCCGCGCUUUGCUGGUUAAUUUGGAGCCACCUCGCCGGAGCCGGAGCCGACGACACGAAUACACGAUGGCACGCGAGGCCGGAGCGGGACGGGGGGUGUCGAACUGUCGACGAGUCGAUCCAAAGAGAAGUUAAUCGCUUCGUCCAAACUCCGGAAGGCCCCCGCGUCGGCCGCUCUGUUGAUUGGCCCCGGUUCACGUGGCUUCACGUGGCGCCGGGCCAUCGCGGUCGCCGGCGAAGACGGGUGGCGCAGGCAGAGGCAGAGACAACGGGUCCCGCCCCGCCCGACGUUUUUUUCUCCGGUUGGGGAGAGGGGGGUCAUCAUUGGCUAUUCGGCCGGCUGGUACUCCCACGUUGUGGGCAAAGGUCGACGAGGCCCAGAUCAUUUGAGCACGCUGACCCACACAGUCCUGUACGUACGUUUGAGCUGUGUGGGUUCAGUCAGGGCCGCAGGGGAUCAAUUGGCUGAGGUAAUUCGGCUCUCCGCUUGUGCAGAGAAGGAGCCCAUCUUUACAGCGCUGAACAAAAUCUGUCUUUAGCAUCCAGCUGUGGAAUAAGUUUGUUUUGACUCCCACAAAUAUAUGUCCAAUCUGAUUCAUAUCCCUGAACCGAUUUCCCCAACUAUUAAAACCAGCGCAAUUUGACUCCCUCAGCGGUUUUCACUAACGUAGUUCGUUGACCUGGUCCAACCUAACAAGUCAGCAUGUGAGGCCCAUAUGUCAGCUUCUCUUUAUUCUUCUCCCUUUUUUUUCUUCCUCUCCUUUCCCUCACACGCGUAUAGUGGUUCUAACCAGACAAUGGUAGCAUGGCCCAAGGCAGAGCAAGGAGCUGGGCAACCCCGAUAAGGUGUUUGGCAUGGUGGUAGGGCAGACCGCGGACCUGAUGUAUAGAAGCGGCAUGGCCUCGAGGCUCGAGGUAAAGCGGUGGCGCGAAAGCAGCCACAUGUGGUGGACGGAGGAUGCCGCCACCGCCACUGAGGGGAUCUAGGGGUAUAAUGAAGGGAGAUGCACUUGCGGAUUGCCGGUUGCCCCAGCGACAAUGAGAGUUGCUUGUACACCGCUGUCGCUGCAGCGCUUGACAGGUUGAGCAGGGUUCAGGAGCACGGUACCAUCGGCAGCUUCCCCUCUGACACCGCCGCAUCGUUCGGGGUUGGGGAGUGCAACACAAUUGGUGGCUGCCUAUUGCCACCGCUUGCCUACAGCGACACGGGCUGGGAGUGCACCGUUGGAUUGGUCACCUCGCGCUGCUGUGAUGUGAUGCCUCUCCUUCAUGCCACAAGGCAGCGUACUUUGGUGAUAGACGAUGUGACCCAAGUGGCAGCGAUUGCCUCUUUGGCUUCCUCCAUCGCCACCACUCGCCUCCUAGGGGAGGGCAGCGAGCGGGCUUGCACUGCCCGUCGAAGGGGUGUUGCGCUCGCCGCCUCAGGUGUGAAAGAAAGGAGGAGAGAGGGGAGAAUAAGAGUGGGGGCUGACACGUGAGCCCCACAUCAUUUUUUUUCCUUCUCACUUACAUGCAGGUCCAUAUCUAUUUUUAAUUUUCCUGGGCUGCCACGUGGACGCCACUAAAAAACCAUUUUGUUUGGAGUCAAUUGUUUUUAUAGUUGGGGGGGGAGGUUAGAGAUAUCCAGUAUUACGGUUCAGGAUAAGAAUUUGAUUGUUGGACCUAUAAUUGAGGAAGUCAUAGUGGACUUAUUCCAUCGGCUGCUGUUGCUCAAUUUUGCGCCAAAUACUUUUUAGUCACGGCCCACAUUCUAUUACCGGGCACACAUAAUCUUUAUAUCCGCUUCGGCCCACAAGGCCAUAACCCACGCCCUCUUGCCGGCCACACCAGGCACACGUGUAACGGUUAGCGCAGAAGCAUUAAUACUGUAACAGAUAACAGAUUAACAGCCCUAAAAAAGGAUCAAAGGGCAGAAGAGUACACAAACUCACGAACAAAUACGGCAUACAAAAGCGUUGAUCUCAUCUGCAAGGCUGCUGCAAUGUCUGAAUUAAUAAUGUCUCCAAUUACCCAUCUCCCCACUCUCGUCUAGUCUCGUACCCCCAACAAAUCAACAACAAUACAAACGCGUCGAUCAAUAAUCAAACGUGUACUCUACAAAGAAUAUUUACUAGUAGUACAUUACACGGCACACGUCUACACACGCAGGCGCAAGCCUCGACCGACCGACCGCGAGUAGUCACACGUUGUCGGGCAGGUCGAAGUGCUGGACGCCGAGCACCUGCAGCGCGGCGUUCUGGACGAAGAGGACGAGGCCGCAGCGGGAGGCGCGGAAGCCGUCCCAGAGCGGGAACUGCACGGACCCGGACACGGACUUCUUCGCCGACGCGCCGUCGCGCACGGCGGCCACCUUCUCCAGCCGCCGCACCACGUGGUCGUUGAGCAGCGACUUCCCCUUGUUCUCGCCGCGCCCGCAGUCCGUCACCAGCCCGCUCUCGUACAGCGCCACCAACACGCUCCCGCCGCCCUCCAUCCGGCUCCGCAGCGUCCCCGUGAACGACGCCUGCAGCGUGCUCGGGUUCGGCCGCUGGAACGUCACCUGCACACAGUGCCAUUAUCGGUGCAAGAUGCAGAUCAGAUCACAAAGAUGAGCUUAAUUGCUUGCUGCUUAUCCAAAGAUUUUAAUUACUUCUAUUUUAACUCGUGCAGGAUACGUUAAUCUGACCGUGACAUUCCAUCUGGACAAUCCUAAUCAAGUAAGCUGUGGGUUGCACAUGCGAGAUAAAAAAAAUAAAUCAAUGCUGAUCUGAAUUAGUACCGAUGAGAUCUACUCCACAGUUAAAUGGAAGUGCCGUUAACAUCGAUCGGAAUCAUCCUGGAUCGAUCGGCCAGAUUCCAGAACAGAUCAGAUCCAAUGAUGCAUCUAUCACAUGCACGCAGUUGUACGGCCAACUUUUGACCUCCUUUUUGUCGAACCAAUUAAACACUGGGCCAUCCAACAGCCAGAGUUGCAGCACCACGACAUGCUGUUCACCUGUAGGCGCUUUACCUUGGAGUCUUGGACGACGACAAAUAGCACGCCGCAUUUGCAUUGAUCCAUGGCAUCGAUCGUGCAAUGCAACGGUGCAAUAUCUCGGCGGCGUUCUUGGCGCGUCAACAGCGGCGCGCAUGCAUGAUGCAAUCGGCUAGUUAUGGCUUGAUGGUGCGUACCUUCAUGGCGGGGGCGGGGUAGCGGGGCGCGUCGCGGACGGCCUGGGCGAGGGCGUCCUGCUCGGUGCCGACGCAGUGGGCGCGGCCCUGCACGACGGCCUGCGGCGUGAACAGCGUGUCGAGCCGGAGCGCCUCCACGUACGCCUUCUGCCGCACCGUCCACGCGCUGGACGCGAACGGGUCCUUCCACCCGCGGUAGUCCCAGUAGUCGACGUGGAAGCCCAGCACCACCACGCCGCGCUCCCCGCCGCCUCCCUCGCCCGCCGCCGCCCGCUGCUGGUCCUCGUGCACCAUCCGCGCCGCCACCGCGUCCGCCUCCGGCGACGCCCCGCACCCCUGCGAGCAGAACAGCUCCAGCAGCACCGGCCCCGGCGCGGCCGCCGCCGCCGCCUCCUCCGGCUGAUCCGGCGCCGACGCCGUCGCGCUGCCCCUGCCAAAACACGACAACAGCCGCGGCGCCAUGUUGCGACACACUACGAUCGCUGCUGGCUAUCUGGGAACUUAGCCGUGAAGGGAAUGAACCAAGGAGGAGGUAGCGAGCGAGCUAGCUAGCUAAGCUGGUGUAGUGUGUGGCGGGCAAGGUAAGUAGCUGUGGUGUGGUGGUGGGUGGGUGAAAGGUGAGGAGGAACGUGGCGGUGGAGACGGCAACAGGAUACCAGCCUGGGACAGCACGCAACCUCUCCUCUACUCGCACAUCUAAUCUACCUUCGCCACGCCUCUCUCCGGCCUCAGGCCAUGUGUGUGCUAACCUAGCUACAGAUUUAUCUACUUCGUUUGUUCUUGACUUUGCAUUAUAGUUCUUCUUUUGUUUUAGCUGUCCUCCAGUGCGAUCGGUGGCCGACGACGCGCGUUGCUCUAAUAAUGCACCGCACGAUGCUAGAUCAUGUUGGCUUCUUCUUCUUUGGCAAAAGAAUAAUCGCAUAAUGCAAUUGGGUAAAGGGCGCACUUCUGCUUGCCCUUUUGCUUGCCUGCUGCAAACUGGAAUCCGUUGAUCAUUUGGUACGGUGUAUUCUGCCAGCACGAAGUGGAGACGCCCGGGAGAAUUUUCGGUUCGUUGAGAACGGUGUCGCUCGGGGACUGGUCGAUCGGUUCGGUGAUUAAUCCAAACGAUGCUGUGUGGUUCCUGUGAUAUAUCGAUCGAUAGUCCUCCUGACUGCUCAGGCGAUCGAUCAGUGUCGCAUCAAGCUUGGAUUUCGUGGGCGAUCAGCCGAUCACAUUUGCGAGCGGUGGCGACUGCGGCCGUGCAGCUGACAGUACAGAGACGUGCUAUCUGAAUAUCCUACUGUAUCUCUGUCGGUGCCUACCUGCAGACACGUCCGUGAGCCUGGCAACUGGGCCGAAAGGCCGGCCGAGUGUAACGAGAUAUGCUGCCUGGUCCGGUAUGCCAUACUGGGCCGUUCUCGGCCGCUAUAACACGAUGCACGGUAUGGGCCUCACGGUAUCCAGCCCGCACGUAGGUUUGCAAUCCGGUUCCUGCCCACAGACAUGGAAAAGUCCACUGUGUCUCCCUCAAUAUUGGUCAAAUAUAAUUCGUAUCCCUCAACUACAAAACCGGGUAUAAUGUAUCCUCCAACUGUUAAAACUGUGCAUCAUGACUCCUGGCAGCCUAAUCAUCAAUAAAAUAAAAUAAAAUAAAGUAAAGUGGGCCUCACAUGUCAUCAUCCCCUCCCUCUCCUUCUCUUAUCCAUUAUUUCUUCCCUACACAACAAGGCAUCGGCGACAGGCGGCGUUGAGGCAGGAGGUGAAGGAGAGGGCAGCGGCGAGUGGCAACAGAUGGCCGCUCGACGGAGGGGCUCGAGGGAGGUGCCUGUCAGAGGCAACCCAAUAUGGACGCAGGGUCGUGCAGAUGGAGGUGGGGAUCUAGGUAGCGAGGCUGGGUGGGAGUGUGCUGGCGAGCGUGUUCUUUGACACGUUGAGGACAGCCAGGUGUAGGAGCGUGUAGACGGCGAGGGAGUGGAAGAGGUGGGGGUGACUAGGGAGAGCAUAUGAGCAAGAGGCAAUUGUAGGGAGGAGGUGACGGCGGAGGAGGAGUGGAGAAGCGGAAUGAUAGGAGUGGAGUGGAGAGCAGGUUGGUGCAGGGGAGCUCGUUGUGCUUGGUCCUUUGACGUCGGCCUCUCCUUGAGCUCCCUCUCUUCACUGGCGUCAAGAGGACUCGCCGGCCACUUUGCGGCUCUUCAACCACACCUCCAAUCCGUACGUUCAUGGCAACUAGGAGUUCCUCCGCUUGGCGGUUCUUGACCACUCCCCUCCCCACUCCGCCCCACUGGCCCUAUGCACGGUGGCGAUGCUUGUGCCUGCGGGGCGGCAUUGCAACUAGAUCUUCUCCACCCGCGUCGUCCACCUGCACCUCCUUCUCGCCUCCCAAUCCAAGUGCCAUCAUCUCUCUCGCCUCAUACUCACCAGCACUGAGCUCUCCGCGCCUUCUCCUCCUCGAGUGGUCAGCGCCGCUCGCUUUGGCAAGGAUCUUGCUCACGCAGUGAGUGCUUGCCGCCAGCCGCUCCCCCUCAUCAUCCUGUACGUGCCACCGUUGCUCUGUGUCAUCGUCCCGCGCGCCGCUGCUGUGGAGAAGAAGACGAGAGGUGUCGACCAGGAAGGGGGAAGAGGAAAAGGAGAGAGGAAAGAGGAUGACAUGUGAGGUUCAUAUACUGAGUCAGACUGUUAGACUAGUUCAACGAGCCACAUCAUUAAAAAACCACCCUUAAAACCAUUGAGAGAGUUAUUUUUCACCGGUUUUGAUAGUUGGAGUCAUGUUAUAUCUGGUUUUACGGUUAAGGGAUAUAAAUUAGAUUUGAAUAUAUUUAAGCGAGUAAACAUGGACUUCCUCCCAUAGACAACCCGUUCAGCUAUUGUGUCGGCCCAUGUGUUCUCGGGUAGCCGAGAGCUGCGCGGGCCUGGGCGAACAAUACGGAAGUUUCAUACGAAUCCGCUACUCCCAUGGGCCGUGGAGGGGAGCAGCGUGCGACUUUGAGGGCCCGCGUGCCACCGAUUUGUGUUCCGCUGUUCUGCGUGCGUGGACGACGCCGACCCGAUCGGCCACUCCCGGUCAAAACCCAACUACCCGAUUGACCCGCGUCGGCGGCGGCAACGCCCAACCGCCACCGCCGCGCGUGGCUCCACUCGCGCCGUGCAAUCGUGCAUGCCAGCUUAUACAGCUCCAGCCGUCUGAGUCACCGCGCACACGGCAGCAUCCUUCGAAGUACGCCGGCCAUUUCCUCCGCGUACACGUACGUGUUCCCCCGAUCUCGACGUCGUCGUCAGAUCCUCGUGAUUAUCGCACCAGAUUAAUCCGCAUGCAGCCCACAUCGUAUAUUUUCGUCGUUCUGCCUGCUGCUGGAAAAGCGGUAAACUGUGGGUUCAUUAUUGAGUUUCCGUUUCGAUAAUCCACCGAGAAAAAUCGACGGAUUAAUUAGGCGUUUCACGCUGAUUCACAUGACCUCCUUGAUCGUUUUUAAACUUACAGUAGUUCACCGUAGAGGUUGGUGAUCCAUAUUUCGAACACUGUAGUUAUCCUACGCUGCAGGGAAGCUCAAGCUUCAGCCUUCAGGCCAACGGGCCAAGCAUGCAUGCAUACACCGAAAGGACAAAGCUAAGGCGCCCGACUGAUCGAGAGGUUUCAUCGUAUCUUUCCAUUUUCUUUUCCUGACGUAAUUCAUCGUAUUGUAUAGAAAAAAAACAUAGAUUUGGUGUGUGGAUUUGUGGAUAACGCAGCCGUGAUCGAUCGAUGUUGAAACGUACCGUGCGACGGAAUGCGUGGUCGGUCGCUCCGAAUCGGGGCCUGUCACGUGUAACCAAAUCCAAAACCUGUGGGUCAAAAUUCUCCAAGUCAAAGCACUCGCAGCCUACAAAAUCUAAACCCAAAUCCAAAUCUCCGGCGGGCGCGGCAUUAAUUAAUUACGGGAACUUCACUUUACACGUCGGCCGGAGAGAAAAAACACGAGGUUUAUCCACAAAUUAAUCCGGAUCACACCCACAACAACCCACCACCUGUCUCUUCUUUCUUUCUUUCUUUCUUCCUUUUGCUUUGGAUUGGCGUCACGCAUUCGCAGCCGCGCGCAAUUAAUUUGCGCUAAUCCAUCCGGAUCGAUCGAGCCCUUUUCCUUCUCGUGAUUGCACAAUGCUCGCUACAGUAGAGAAUAGUACUCAACCAGCUGCUGCUACUGCACAAAUGCACAAUGUUUUGGGUUGGUGGCUUGCGUUGCAUGGCCUUAAUCGUCCGGGCUUUUCUUUGAUCUGUCUUGCUUUUCGCGGAUGCGAACACGUGAGAGAGAUUUUGGGGCCCGGAUCGUGUCGAAUCAGCCAUGGAUAAGACGAGUAGUGACAGUGUGAUAUGCAGCAUCCCUUUUGGUGGAAAAGGAGGUUUUUGGCCUUCUUCACACGAGUCUCCUCGUACGAAUUGCACUGUUCAAGUGUGCCUACUGCCUUCUUUUAGUUACUUCCCACACGCUCUUCUUGCUCCCGGUUUCUGUGAUGUGUGCCUGCCCCUAUUGAGCUAUUAUACAGUAGUGGAUAAGAACAUACAGAAAGGUUUUGUUAAAGAAUGACUCUACAGCUUGCACACUGUUUAAUAAUAAGUGUUUAUCCCUCUAAUGAGCUAAGAAGUUUGUCGCAGCCAGCUUCAUACUUUAACCUUCAGUUUAUAAGCAUAAACAGAAAAUUUAGUUUCAAAACUUAAAUUUUGAGUUGAUCUUGAAGUUUUCUUAUCGUGGUUUAUUUUUCAUCGUUUGCUUUUAAAUAGCUUAAUAACAUAUUUAUAAAAGUUUUACUAGUAAAUUAUAUUUUAAUCAUUAAUAAGCCGUUUAGCUUAUAAUCAAAACGAUCAGACAGGUGUAGUGAACUUUUUAUUAUCGUUUACAAUCUACGGGAAACUAUUCUACAAUCUACUCAAAGAUCGUGCACGGUACACGGGUACACGACCUUCCCUUUUUGUGGAUCUCCGGUACGCCUUUGCAACCACAAGCUGGCAGACAUGUUCUGGAAGAAAGCAUCACAAACAAAUGCAUAGCAGCAGCGCCAGCUGAUGGAGUGGAUAAUGCGUAAACGGGCUAUAAAGUUGGCGUGGCACGGGCCGAAAAAUGCCGUGCGAGCGCGGCACCCUGGCCGCCCGCGCGCGACGAUCCUCGGCGACGACACCAGUACACCACGACGUUGAUGCGCGCGGCAACGAAGGAUUAUUACGCGAAAUGUGGCUGGAAAAACCCGCGGAUUCCACGUGAUCCGCUGCUCAUCAUCACGAACGCCGGUGGAAGCGGAAGAGAAAAAACACAGCCAGAAUACUGUUUGAUGCCGCUUUGUGAUUGUGCGGUGUGGCGUGGACGUGUUUUGUGCUGAUUGUCCACAGGCACUGACGUUCAUACUACUGUUCUUCGUCAAGAAAACGAAGUUUGCUUAUGAUAAUGUGAGUUCGAUCGAUUGAUCAAAUGCAUUGUUCUUGAAUUAAUACAGCCGGCACGAACUCAUAGAGCAACGUUCUUGAAACUUGCAUUUAUAUUCAUACUUGAUCCAAAACAAUCCCCAAGUAGAGUAUCCGGCACAGAUAAAUUAAACCGGAACUUUAAAAAUGAAAAGAAAACGAAAGAGAGACUAGUGACUGCUUUUUCGUCGUCGUCCUAGUACUAAGACAAUUGGGGUAUAAUACAGAAAAAUGAGAAAAAAGAAAUAUAAGAUUUUUUUUAAUGGUAGCUUAUUUGCGAACGAUGUCAGCGACCGACGCGCUGAGGUCAUCAGUUGGCGAGCUUGGCCGGGUCGACCUUGCCGUUGCGGUUGCCGGCGGCGGGCAUCUCGACGUCGGCGCCGACGUGCACGUCCUCGUCGCGGAUGAACCUGCCCCAGUACCAGUGCGACUUCCAGACGAGCACCAUCUCCUCGAUGGGCACGUUCUUGGUCUCCGGCAGGAAGAAGGCGACGAACAGCGUCAUGAUCACCACCCACGCGCCGAAGAAGAAGAAGAGGAUGAACUUGAAGCGGCAGAGCAUGGGGAGGAACGCCUGCGCGAUGAUGAAGGUGAAGAGCAUGUUCACCGACACGUUGAUGCUCUGCCCCGCCGACCUGAUCUCCAGCGGGAAGAUCUCGCUGGGGACGAGCCAGCCCAGGGGCCCCCACGACCACGCGAACCCGGCGACGUAGGCGCAGAUGAAGAGCACCACGAACGCCGCGUACGCCUUGGGGAUGUCGGCCACGCCGGAGAACCCGAACUUGGCGCCGAUGAGGCUUCCGACGACGAUCUGGCACGCCAGCAUCUGCGUCCCGCCCUGGAGGAACAGCUUCCGGCGGCCGAGGCGGUCGACGGUCACGAUGGACACGAAGGUGGCGAAGACGUUCACGAGGCCGGUGAUCACGGCGGACAUGAGGGACGCGUCGUCGGCGAAUCCCAGCGUCUUGAACAGCACCGGCGCGUAGAACAUGAUGACGUUGAUCCCCGUCAGCUGCUGGAACAGCGGGAUGGCGAUGGCCAUGGUCAGCUGCGGCCUGUACCGGCGCUGGAGGAUGUUCCGCCACGGGUGCGCCACGAGCUUGGACUCCUCGCUGGCGGCCACCAGGUCGUUGUACUCCUCCUCGAUGUCGUCGGUGCCGCGCACGCGCCGGAGCAUGCGCUUGGCGGCGUCGGUGUGGCCGCGGUCGAUGAGGGAGUUGGGCGUGUCAGGGAGGAAGAGCGCGCCCACGGCGAUGAUCGCCGCCGGCACCGCCGCCAGCGCCAGGCUCACGCGCCACCCCCACCCGCCCUUGAUCUUGGCAGUCCCGUAGUUGAUCAGGUUGGCGCACAGGAUGCCAAUGGUGAUCAUCAGCUGGAACCCGAUGUUGAGCAUCCCGCGCAGCCUCGCCGGCGCCAUCUCCGACAGGUACAGCGGCACAGACUGUUCAUCACACCGACAAAAAAUCAUCAGUAAAAACUGUCACAUCCGAAGAACUUAAGCAAACCAACAGUAAAUUUGAAGUCAAAGAUAAGGCACAAAUUUCAGCAAAAAAAUGUAAGGUCUGAGAUUUUUGGCUCCAGCUAGAGAAAUCUUUGCACACUCAUUGACGAUAGCAACAUGCUCCAAGAAUCAAGUACUAGAAGAAAAAUCUUGACGUGCGAAUGGACACGGCAGCAAGUCGUAUUUUGCGGGUGCAAAGUCAAAGCAGAAGAAAGAGCACUGCAAUGCAUUGACGCAGGUGAACGAGAGCAGCAGCAGUGUAUGUACCUGGUUGGCGAAGCCGACGCCGACACCGAGGAGGACGCGGCCGAGGAUGAGCAUGAGCACGUUCUUGGCGGCGCCGUUGAGCGCGGCGCCGACGAGGAAGGUGACGCCGCCGCCGAACAUGGACCACUUGCGCCCCGCGACGCGGGUGACGGUGGACGCGAAGAAGGAGGCGACGAGCGCGGCGAGGUAGAGCGACGAGGUGAACAUGGUCAGCAGCGGGCUGUCGAACUUGCAGUACUGGUUGCUCUGGUUCUUCUCCGCCGCCUGCUCCUUCCGGUACACCGACGGGAAGAACUUGAUCAGGAACGGGUUCAUCGACGUCACACCCCCUGCAUCAUCCAAAAACAAAAAAUGAUUUUAAGUUUCGUUUUAAAAAUUCUUACUGCGUAAAGAUUGGCGAGUAGUAUGAAACUAUGGAAGUUUAUAAUAGUAUGGAAUAAAGAUUGCAAAAACGACGGGGACAUGGAAAGAUUCUUCUUGGUUUCGCAAGAAUCUGGCAAGUGGAAUAAAAGAAAAGAGGAAGGGAAUAUCAUGGUUUUGUUUCUACGCGUGCAAGGUGCUUAAAUGUUUAUGCAUUGAAGCUCCCGACAUGGCGGUAGGUGCACGGUGGCCAAGAGAAUGACUCCGGUUUGCAUACACCAACAUGGUUAAUUAACCAUUUUUUUAUUUAUCUCCUGAUGAUCAGCCAUAAAGAAAAGAUCAUGGACAAGAACUCACCGGAGAUGCCGAUGUCAUAUCCGAAGAUGAGGCCGCCGGUGGCUGCGACGAUGCAGGCGAAGAGGACGAACAUGGUGAGCUUCCCGGGGUAGUCCUUCCCCCCUCCGUUGUUCACCACCACGCCGCCGGCCAUUGCUGCGACGACCACCUAACCGUCGACGUAGUACUACUACAAAUCUCGAAGAGAUCACGAGCUCAAAGAAGAAACCCUCUCUGACGAGAAGAGAUCAGAGACGAGUGUAUCUAGAGACACAGAAGCGAAUGGAUGGUGAGUUUGGAGAGGCGGAGCGGCGGGAAAUAUAUAGGCGGGGGAGGGGUCCGGACUAUUCUGUAAAAGCUCAAAAUCCCAAGGGGUGGACCGCAAAAUAUGCCGCUCACAACCUCAACGUUACAGUCUGUUCCGAGUACUGGUACUAGUACUAUUUUUUUAGGAGGAAAAUCGCUUGCCGAUAUUAAUUGUGGCUAUGGAUUACCCGCGAUCCACCUGCCUCUGCUUCCUGGAAAGAGAGGCCGUUUCAUGUGAACCGAACGCUGCUUUUCCGUUGAUGGGCAACGACCGCGAUCGCCGUCCGUUUGGGGGGUGUAGUAGAUCGACACGCCGGCAAUGGCUGUCAGCGUUAUCCGGAAGUUGCAAAGGUGAUUAAUUAGACCGACCUUAAUUAGUAGUACUAGUAGUACUUUGUUGUGUUAGCAGUGUGUGUAUACAGCUCCAGUCCAGUCCACGCUACGAACGGGGUAGAUCGUAUCAUUAUCAGCUGACUCGGCCACGAAUCAGAUGCCAACCGGCCGGUCGAUCGAUAUGGUGCAAGAAUUUCUGCGUGCGUACUCUUAACUCCGGCAUGCCUGGAGAUGAUCUGGCCAGAAAUGGGGGAAAAAAUUUUGGUGGAGACCGGAUGCAAACCUUCUCGUCUGCAACCCUGCUCCAGAUAUCUGACGCGUGGACAAGUGCAUGAUCCAAUGGUGCGCUCUCCUCGGCUCCAAACCGUGUGCUAUCUGUAGCGGCCCAUCCUCCGCUCGGCUUGCGUGCCUUCGUCAGCUCGACUCAACCCCGGCUUGGUGGCUAUAGAAGCGGGAGCGACGCGCGCUACACCAAUCGGCGAUGGUGUGUCCGUGAUAGUCAGAUCAUCGGAGAAGGAGCGGGAUUGUUCGUCUUCCUACAUCUGAUAGCAGCCAAAUCGCCGGCAAUUGCAGCUACCAUGGCAGGAGAAUUAAUCCUCCACAGAUGAUGCAGCUGCAGCAUCCACCCUGGUAGGCAUCGAACCCAGACCUGCAAACGCAGUCGCCGGGGAUGGUGGAGCCGAUGAGGAGCAGUCACCGAGAAUCGUGGAGAGGACGCAGUCACCUGGGAUCGUGGAUUACUGAAUAGAUGAUCCUACAAUGCAAAACAGCGUGUUCUAGAAAUGAUUCAAGAGGACUAACGAAGCUACUUAACUGUAAAACUAACGAGUAUCUUGGAGGCUUGGAGCCAUGUUUUUGUUUCUUUAUUGUACUGCACUGAAUCUGAAUACAACUUUGUAUAACCAGUAGUCUCCAGUGCCGAAACGUUUUGGGGAGUCUUUAACAAUUCAUCUGAUAACAUCAAAUUGAUGCAUAAUGCUUGGACUAUACGAUUUCAGACAUUCAAGAUUUCGGAUUACACAAUAUUCCAUAUUUUAUUUAUCUACGGAAUCAGAUAAAUAAUCACAUUUUUUUAACACAUCCAUAGAAUGCAUAUUUUAGAACAUCUAACACGCCAUAUGUAUUUUAGAUAGAAAAAUACAUUGUACAUAUUACAAAGGGAUCUCAAUUUCCUUGCAAUUUGAGCAACAAUAGAAGGUGUCAAAUUACAGCUUAUAGCAUUUGCACUACAAUCCUUGCAAACUCUUAACAUUUUACAUAGAUUAAAUAUUUCAGAUUACAAAUAAGGACUACCAUCAUGAUCAAACUACAAUACACCAUCCUCUUUUGAUGCAUUUACAGUCCUUUCAGGUAGUACAUGUACAUAUCCCUCUUUUGUAUUUUGAACAGAAAAUAGAGAACCACCAUCAUACAAAAUUCAGUUGUCCAGGAUUUGUCAAAUUGAGAAUUGCAGAGGUUCUGCUUUUAUCAGAAACCUGAGAAUCAGGAACAAGAACUCUCUUCGUCAUACUACAAUUGUUCUCUCGAGUGCCAAAGUUUGUGUUCUCAGCCAUGCGUAGUUCUUCCAAUUGGUCAUUUCCCGAAAGUAGCACAAGACUAGUGAGGUUGAUGCAUAAGCUUUCCUACCUUUUGGUUUCAUAACAGCUUGGGUAAUGCACUAAUGCACACGAUGCCCAACAAGCCCAAUUGCAUUAAUCAAGGCAGCGGUGAUGGGCGACGAGCCGGCGAUUACCCCUGUGGAGGCGAAAAGCGGCGGCGGCCCUCAAGCGAUUGGAUGAGGAGCAGGUAGUGGACACGCCCGACGCUUCCCGGCGGCAGACGAGAGAGAUGGCAGUUGAAUCAGGAGAAAGGGGGAGGGGAACAGAUCGCGCUCGCCUAGAGCCGAGCGAGCCGGGAGGGUAUUGAGUGGAGGGAGCCGCGGCGCGCCCAGAUCAUGCCCGCCGGGAGCCAAGAGGGUCGGCCGUUCGAUUUGCUUUCUAUCCACGCGUCCACCAUCUGCAGCGGGGCUGCAGAGGCUUCGGUUUGUAGCCGGUCUCCACCAAAAUUUCUUUCAGAAAUGGGGGACCUGUGGGCAAAUAAUGUUGGUCAACACUUGGUUGGCACUCACAAUGGUAAAGUAAGGUGCUCUCUAUAAAACAUGUACAUCUCAGCAAUAGACUAGAUUAAUAGUAAACCACCUCAAUAGUAUGUCUAUAUGGGUAUCUAUAGCUCUCUAAUUCAUUGUCUCGUUUUUCUCUAUAGACUAUCUCCAAGUUAGUAGAUAGCUUUGCUCUCUCUCUUCAUUUAAUCUCUUCCAUGUAGAAAAAUAUGCUGACAUGGAUCUUUUGUAGAUAGUCUAUAUAUAAUUAUUGCGGGUGUCCUAAAGAAAACCUGAUGAACUGGAUGAGGCAUUAAUGUGUUGAAGUGUUUUGCCAUGUGCCGUUCGAAAAAAAGUGUUUUGCCAUGUGUUUGACUGUUAUCUCAGUUAAUAUCUGGACGAUCAGCUAGCUGGCACAAACUGAUCGAUCCAUCUCAUGGUGAUUUUGAGCAGCUGAUACUAUACUUUGUUCGACAGAGAACCCUAUUUUUUAGAAAAGAAACAAAGAAGAGAGGCGUGUGAACGGGUAUGUUUGGUUAGUAGUACGUUGCAAAACUAGGGAUGAAAUAGUGCAACGAGUCAUGGGAUGAGAUGACGCAGUUAAUGACCGACAAGUUUUGAAUGCUCAUUUGCAUCGCCGAAUUAACGCUUGCGUAUGCACGCAAAUGUUAAUGUACACAUAGGCACGCAUGGCGCGUCGUUGUUGGACAAAAACAGCAUGUCCAGUUGGCUUUGGCCGGUGCUCAAACCCAUCGGACAGCUUACCUCAUGUCGCUGUGUAACAGCAACGAUUUUUUCCCCUUUUUUUAUUUCGCAGGGAAAAUCCACCGGCCGAGUUUAUUAAGAUUGAUCGAAUUGAAGUAGGUUACAAACUCAACACCAAGGUUGUUGAGGUACACUCGUGUCCGUGAAUCGGCCGAGAGGGACAUAGCUGCAAAAAAAAAAAAGAGAGGAUAAGAGAAAAAUCAAAGAUGACAACACUUUCAUCGUGUAGAUAUAUACGUACAUACGGUGAACCCGCACCCGUAAAAAAUACGGUCGUUGUCUCGGCAAACUCUCGCGGAAAUCCUGCGCACGCAGGUAGCACGUCGUACCUACGUUUGCUUCAGAUAUCAUGUGUACACACAGCCGCGCGCGGCUCCGUCGCGGGAGCAGUUUUUUGUUCGCUAAUCGCCGCAAAUCUCGUCGUCCCGUCGACGACGCCGCACGCCGGUGCUCAUUUCCGUGUCAAACAUGUCAAAACCCCGUGGAAUAGCGAUCUAUCGGCGAGACGGGCGAAGAAAACGCACACACUGUACUGUUGAUGGGGUAGUUUGCUACAGGAGUCAAAGGGAGCAGGACGAGGCGGGCGCCGGUCGGCCGGGCCAUGCACACCGGCCGGUCAACGCGCGCUGCGCGCGCACGCAUGCGCGACGGAGCACCCGCGGAUGCGUACUCGCGUCAGCGUCGACGCGGCCGGCGUGAGGAGGACAUGUCGCGCUCUCUAUCUGUGCCGCUACGACCGCUUGCGGGAGACGGGGAGUAGCAUAGCAUCAGCAUGGGCGCCAGACGCCAGUGGCUUCGUACUUUCGUAAGAUACGCUAGCUUUGGUCGCUAGCGUAUCGUCAAUGGCUCGUUGGCUCGAUAUGUCAGCUACUAGUUACUCCCUCCGUCCCAAAAAAAAAGACAAACCUUAAUUUUUCGUGUACAAUGUUUGACCGUCUGUUUUAUUUAAAAAAGUUAUAAAAAAAUAAAAAAGACAAGUCACACAUAAAAUAUUAAUUAUGUUUUAUCAUCUAACAACAAUGAAAAUACGAAUUAUAAAAAAAUUUCAUAUAAGACGGACAAUCAAAGUUGAACACGGAAACCCAAGGUUUACCUUUUUUUCGGGACGAAGGGAGUAGGUUAGUACUACUCUAGUAGGAGUAGCUCGGUCCAUGCGACUAGCUAGCUAGGGCCGGGUUUAGUUACCAACUAUUUUUUCAAGCUUACAACUUUUUUAUCACAGCAAAACUUUCUUACACACGUAAAUUUUUAACUUUUUUCUUUAAACUUUCAAUUUUAGUUAAACUUUCAAUUUUACCGUGGAACUAAACACACCCCAGCCAUACCGAUUUAGCUGGAGCAGCAUGAUUGAUCGAGCAGCAGUUGCAGUUUCAGGACCGACCCACGGUGGUUACUGUGAAACCGGGGACCACCAUGGCCAUGAACCAAAGGAGACUACCGUAAAUGUUCCUUUCUUCUUUAAUAUCCAAACCCUGCCUUAAUUGAAGCGUAGGGCUUGCUACCACUACGAAGAAAUGCAAAACGUCGUCAAUGCUACGAUGACAUAUAUAACAACGUUGCAGGUCAAAGCUACAAGUCGGCCAUGCCGGCCCGUCAGUCCCCUCCCUUGUGCUUCUCCCGUUCUCCGCCUCUCCGGUGCACACAACUUGGAGGGGUAUACGGGGAUGGGCGGGGCCGCAGCGCACAGCGCACUGGCACGCCAGCGACCGAUGCAGCUGAGAUCGAUAUGCGAUACGGGCCUGAGCACGCACGCAUCCAUGCGCCAGCACGUCUCCGCGACGGCGACUCGCGCACUGUUCCACGGACAAAGAUGGGCCCACCAGUACACCACUCCAGCCGCGCUCGGGGGUCAAACCGCGCGUGUCUCCGCGACCCGCGACGAGUCAGCUCAGGCGCAGGAAGCAGCGUAGCCGGCGACGUAUACGAGUAGUAGCCGCGAUGCGUUCGCUGUUGCUGAACGCUGACUCGUGGUCGCUCUUGGAGAGAAAAACAUGUGCGCAUCGAUUGGAUGAGGCGCGAUCGGUUACGUUGCUGGGCGCCUGGGCCCCCACGGGCAGCCUCGUUUGAAGAGUCUCCGGUAGCGGACCGACUAGCGGAGUCAAGUUCGGGUUUGGUACAAAGCGGCAACUUGUGCGCAGGCGCAGCUGUCUGCGAAGGUGGGAACGCGGAAAUUUCUCCAUGUGAUUUUCGCGCCAGAAUUACUCCGUACUCCCAAUGGCCAAUUUCUUACAGGAUCCGAAAGAACUUUCUUGCUACAAGCAGUGUAUUAUCACCGUGUUUAGAUCUAAAUUUUUUCUUCAAACUUUCAACUUUUUCAUCACAUGAAAACUUUCGUGCAUACAUAAACUUCAAAUUUUUCCGUCACAUCGUUUCAAUUUCAAAUAAACUUUCAAUUUUAGCGUGAACUAAACAUAGCCUAUAUAGUACAUUCUUCAGCUGUUGAGCUGUGACUUCACACUAUGCUAAGGCCUGGCUUAGAUGGUAAAAAUUUUUGUUUUGAGAUAUUACAUUGGAUAUACGGACAUAAAUUUAAAGUAUUAAACAUUAUCUAAUAACACAACAAAUUACAUAUUCCGCCAAAAAAUUGUGAGACGAAUUUAUUAAACAUAAUUAAUCCGUCAUUAGCAAAUGUUUAUUGUAGCACCACAUUUUCAAAUCAUGGCGCAAUUAGACUUAAAAGAUUCGUCUCGUAAUUUACACGCAGACUGUGUAAUUGGUUUUUUUUUUAGAUUUAAUACUCCACGCAUGUGUCCAAACAUUCAUGUGAUUGGUGAAAAGUUGAGGUUUUUCCCUAUAUGCCAUUAAUAAAGAUGGUGCCUACCUCUAUGUCACUAAAAAGUUCGAGCCUCCCUCUCUGCCAUCAUCGAACUUUAUCGUACCCUCCACACCACUCCGUCCGUUUUUGGUAAUAACACAACAAAUUACAUAUUCCGCCAAAAAAUUGUGAGACGAAUUUAUUAAACAUAAUUAAUCCGUCAUUAGCAAAUGUUUAUUGUAGCACCAUAUUUUCAAAUCAUGACGCAAUUAGACUUAAAAGAUUCGUCUCGCAAUUUACACGCAGACUGUGUAAUUGGUUUUUUUUUUCUAGAUUUAAUACUCCACGCAUGUGUCCAAACAUUCAUGUGAUUGGUGAAAAGUUGAGGUUUUUCCCUAUAUGCCAUUAAUAAAGAUGGUGCCUACCUCUAUGUCACUAAAAAGUUCGAGCCUCCCUCUCUGCCAUCGUCGAACUUUAUCGUACCCUCCACACCACUCCGUCCGUUUUUGGUAAUAACACAACAAAUUACAUAUUCCGCCAAAAAAUUGUGAGACGAAUUUAUUAAACAUAAUUAAUCCGUCAUUAGCAAAUGUUUAUUGUAGCACCAUAUUUUCAAAUCAUGACGCAAUUAGACUUAAAAGAUUCGUCUCGCAAUUUACACGCAGACUGUGUAAUUGGUUUUUUUUUCUAGAUUUAAUACUCCACGCAUGUGUCCAAACAUUCAUGUGAUUGGUGAAAAAUUGAGGUUUUUCCCUAUAUGCCAUCAAUAAAGAUGGUGUCUACCUCUGUGUCACUAAAAAGUUCGAGCCUCCCUCUCUGCCAUCGUUGAACUUUAUCGUAACCUCCACACCACUCCGUCUGUUUUUGGUCCUAACAGUGCGUAACAGCGCAGCCAAUAACUUAGUUGCCCUUAGGCGAGAGGUGACGAGUUUGAACUAUUGGGUCUUUGGGUCGCACUCGCCGUCGUCGGUGGCGUCGUACUCCUCGCCGUUGUCGGUGCCGGACUCGUCGACGACGUCGUAGCGGCGCGCCCUCAGGCGGGGGCGGGGCGGACCUCCCGUAGGCGGCGGGAGUGGCGACGGGCCUCCCGGUGGCGGCGGACGGCGCGUCGGCGAGGAGCUGCUUGAGGAGGGUGGCGAGCGGGCGGCCCUUGAGAGCGACGGUGGAAGCCAUGGAUCUCUCUCUCUCUCUCUCCCCUUUCUCUUGAGCGCUCUGCGAUUCUUGCGGUGGAAGCCGAAGAGGUUGGGAAUGGAGGAGUUGGUGUCACGUGUGCAGCCUUUUGUAAGACGCGGUUGUCGAUGGUGGCGAGCCGCGCCGGCUGGCCGCUCCCCUCGGCUCUCAGGCAGAGCAGCAGCGUCCCUCGCCCCACGUCGCCAUCAUCGACGCCGGCUACGUGUAUGCCCACGCCGUUCCUCCUUCUCCUUGCUGAGCCGCCGCUACUCCUCCUCACCGAGACGCCGUCGUCGAUGCCCGUGAUGGCCUUGGACAACGGGCGGCGCGCGAGGGGCACCGCAAAUCGGGAGCAGCCGCGGCGGCGAGGUUGGUGAGGUGGAGGCGAGGAAGAGGGCGUGCAGCCGUCGCCGACCCAUACCCCUUCAUGCCCUUUUUCGGCGGCUGCGACGGCGCUGUGGAGUCCAAAUCCUGGCAGUUUGGCGAAAGGAGGAGGAGGCGCCCCUAACCUCCUCUGCUCAGCACCGCACAGCUCCUUCUCACCCUACGCGGCCUGACUGCCGUGUCGGGCCGCCUUUCCCCCCGUGAGCACAGCCGUGCUGCCGCGGCGCCGCAUUGAACUGCGUUGGCCGCCGCCGCGUCGCCUUCGCCCUCUCUCUCUGUCUCUCUAUGGCGCACUCGAGGCAAGCAGAGACUGAAAGGGCAAGAGCGACAUUUUUUUUAUGCCCAGGCGCACAUGUCAGCUACCAAACGGUUAAACCCAAACAGAAACAGCGACGGAAUAGGGUGGAGCGCGUGAUAAAGAUCGACAAUUGCAGAGAGGGAGGCUCGAACUUUUUAGUGGCACAGAGAUAGACACCAUCUUUCUUAAUGGUAUGCUGGGAAAAACCUCACUAAACAUGGCCAAAAUACUACUCCUACUAUACGUACAUAAACUGUAAUUGUUUAUGUACUAGCGGCAAAUAGCACAAGGACAACCGACGUCGUGACAAGAGAUAAACAAUACUACUGCUCUAUCCUUACACCGUGUAAAGCUCGAAGUUUUCCUUUUAUGUGUGUUAUUUGUUGGAAAUUUGGUCAUAAUUCGGCAUAUUUUAAUCUAAAAUAUUAAGACAAUAAACAUGACAUUUGCAAUAUGAGUAGAUCUAGUGACAGUGCUAGAUGUAUACAACUUGAGUAUGCUUAAUAUGAAAUAAGUAUCAACAUUUACAUAGUAACGCAAUGAUGCCAUUGCGAGGAGUAUUAACAAAGAAAUAUCUAAUAGAAUCGGGAGAAUGAAAGUAUACCCCGAAAAUGUCCCACCGCUGGAUUUUAAGGCAGUAUUGCCUCCGUUGAUGUCGUUCAUCUUCUUGUCUCCAAUCUCCGUUGACAUCUUGGUGAAGGCGCCGAUGCAGCAGCAGUAGCCGCGAAGAACAAGAGCAGUCGCGCUUGAAGCACUACCCAAAAACUUGAUCGCCCGCCUACCCGUGCAAGUUCUCAAGCGGACGGAGUUCCGGAGGCACCUGCUUGUCCCGUACACCUGUGUGCGCAGGUGAACAGAACCGGGGAAGGAUUCUGCAGCUCAGGAACAGAGGAGGAGGAACUCAAAGUGUAAGAGUCGUGAAGAACUUCUCCGUCCUUCUGAUCGCUGCGGAGUAUAUAUAUAUGCGAGUGCGAGAGUAAUGUUCGGAGUCAUCAACCGCGGUGUUUAAUUUCGUAACUGACACGCUCGUUAAUACGGAAUUAAUUCACGGCGUUUAAUUCCGUAACCGACGUGUUCAUUGAUACGAAAUCAAUUAUCUGUUGUUUAUUACCAACGUUUAAUUCCGUAACCGACGCGAGUAACGUUCGGAGUCAUCAACCGCGGUGUUUAAUUUCGUAACCGACGCGUUCUUUAAUACGGAAUCAAUUCACAGUGUUUAAUUCCGUAACCGACGGAAUCAAUUCACAACGUUUAAUUCCUCCGAUGUUUAUUACCGGCGUGUUCAUUGAUACGAAAUCAAUUCUCCGUUGUUUAUUACCGUCCGUUACAAAACGAGAGCGUAGCAGCGACUGUCUACCUCGCCUCGCCCCGCCUGGUUGUCCGCGCACCAUCUCAACCGGUCAACUGAGACUCUCCACUAGCUACAUAUUUAAGUUGAGACCUCUUCACUUAGAUUUAAUUGGGCCUAACCCAUUAAUCUAACAUUAUUUGCGUGGUCAAGUGGCAAGAAAGUUGUACGUAGCUCGGUAGCUGUACUUUCUUUUGAGGCGUGAACCGUGUUUACCCUUUUGUAUAGUCCCAAUGGAAUUUAAACUAACCUUAUCCAUUCACGAAAUGUUUACUCCAGUCUUCGUUCGUCCCAGCAGAGUCGUCCCAGUCAACAUUCCCGCUUCAAAAUAUCCUUCAAGUCAGUUGUUCAGAUAAAUGAAGAAGCAAAGACCACAUCUACCUGACAGCAGUGUAAAUUUUCUUCCUUCAGAGUUCAAAAAGAACAAGUCAAGAGGAAUUCGUGCACUUAUCACCUGCUGUAGUAGUUCGCUGAUGUACUUCCAGCUGUUAAACUGUCAUUUUUUGUACUGUCGUACUCAUGCAGAGACACCACAGCUAGCUAUGGCUACCGCCAAGUAAAGAAUAUCCACCGUAAGAAGAGAUUAUACUAAUACCACUAGUUAUCGCGCGCGUGCAUAUCUCUGUCACUCGCGUCGCUCCAAAAACCUAACAAAAAUCACAGCCAACGAGAGAGCUAGCCCUCGUGUGGCUGGAGGUUGGAAAAGACGAUUGAGUCAAGCAGAUUCCAUUCUGAUCACAUCAAGGAGAGUGACCCCGACCAGUGAAGCGCGCAGCAGCAUGCAGUAAGAUAAAAUAAAGCAAAAGGUAAGGAGAAUAUAGUGGAGUAAACAUUAUUGUUAAUAUUGGCUAGAAAUUGACAUGUGCAGAACAGGGCACUGAGAGCAAGUUUAAUAGUAUAGCCCACUAUUGGCUCCAAUUCAUCUAUAACUAAUGUAAUAGCCAAUUUAUACAAUAGUUGCUUACUAUAUUAUUAAUAUCUGGUCUCACAUGUUAUACAUACAUUACGUCUUAAAGUCUGUGUUGCAGCUGGCUACAGAUCUGUAGCCCGCUGCUUUUCUCUCUUUUUCUUUAUUUAUUUAAAAUAUGUUUAUAGCUGGCUUAUAGCCUGCUAUUGUACCUGCUCUCAUGGAGAGAGAUGUAGCAAUUAAAACACUUCCAUCUUCUUAAUUUGAGUUGGGGCCUUGUGGGUUGGUAAAUAACCAUGUUCUGUGGCUGAUUCCUCCCACAGUCCCCAGCCAGAAUUAUUAGUUUCUAAUUAUUUUUCAGUGCAUUCCUAGUCAUAAUCAUGUUUAUGUAGAAUCCUGCCAGGGUUUAUUUGAGAAUGACGUGAAUUCCUAAUCUUCAUGAUUACGAGAAUGACAUACAUUUUGUAGAUGCAAAGAGGGCAUUGGACGAGGAAGCAAGGCCACCAACUGACGAACACGGGUACAUACAUGUAGUGCUAUAGUGGCUGGUCAGUUAUCACCAUUUCGCGUUCUGAGAGAAAAACGUUUGUCACUAGGUAGGUAUAGUACUUUCAUCGUCUCUCCGAGUGAAUAGGAACAUGGGAUUCCAUUUGAGUGGUUAGGCCACCUGCAAAUCUUGCCAAUAUUGCAUUUUUGUGGGAGUGGGACAUGAUAUGCAAGAUGCAUGGAAUGACCUUGAGGUGAUCAUGUCAUUUUAGCAUCAAACUUUUGCCCAGUCUUGCUGGUACUGGUAGCAGUGAUGUGUAUAUAAACACAUGAGUUUUUGUCAAAAAAAAAAGUAUAGUAAGAAGAAGGCUACAGCCCCAUCGUUUGGUUUAUUCGAGCGGCAUAUUUGCAAUUGGAUAGUUGAUAAUGAGCUGACAAAAAGAAAGAAAUGAGAGCAGAAGAAGCCGAGACGUUUGAGAGCCCCAGAAGAGGAAGACCAGACAUUGCACGAUUUUGCCAUUUUGGGCUUUGGCCCAUCUCAACUGACCAGAUGUGAACUACUCAGGGAAAAAGUACACGCAAGGUCCCUCAACUUGUUAGCCAGAUACAUCCCUCAACCGCAAAACCGGACAUCCGGCGUCCCCCAACUUACAAAACGGUCACAAUAGGUCCCUCGGCGGUUUUGACCCUGGUUUUGUCCCACGUGACGGCUGACUCAGCGUGGGACCCACGUGGACCCCACAUGUUAUGGAGACCACAUCAGCACCCUCUCUCUUUCUCUAUUUCUCUCCUUCCUCUCGCUCUUUGCUCUCGCAUAGUCGGCGGCGCGCGCGGCCGAAGGGUGGUGCAGCCAGCAACGGCGGCUCCUGGGUGGCGGCGCGCGGACUUAGGGCGGUGCGAGCUCGCCGGCCUCCCCGUCCCCCUCGUGCGGUCGGAGAUGGCAGCGCGCGGCUGCGGCCAUCAUAACUGAUGCGGAGAGGAGGGCCGAUGCGGCAGUGGCAGUAGCGGCGUCACUGACGCGGUGCGGAAGAGGGUCGGUGGCAUCAUCGACGCGGCGUGGAAGAGGGUCGACGCGGCCGAUGGGGAAGAAGCGGCGGAGAGGAGAUCAACCGGCCGGCUUUUCUUGAGGUAGCGCCCGAUACGGCUGACGGGCAACUGGAGCCCGGCCUUGACGGAGCGCGUCACCGCCUUCUUCCUUGGCCUGCCGGCCUUCCUCCCGCCCGCCGCCUUCUUCACCUUCCCGCCGCCAACGUCGUCCAUCUCAACUCAAAUGGUGCUCUCUCACUAUCUCAAAUCUCAAUUCGAUUUGGAUGCAACGCGGGAGUGGGGGAGAGCCGACCGCACUGGCGGGAGAGGUGGGAGAGGAGGCCGGAGGGAGACGGGGAGAUGAGGAGGGCGAGUCGUCGUCAUCGCUGCCCAGUCCGCACCCGUUGUGCGGGGAGUAGGGGGCAAAGCCAGAGGAGGGCGGCCGCCCACACCCACAAGUCGUCGCGCCCCCGGUAAUGCGGCGCGCACGGAGUGACUUGGAGCUCGCCUGCCGCCCGCCCAUCGCCGCUCUCGCCCACAGCCCGGCGCCGUCUCCGCGUGGAGUUGUCCGGAGAAACACGUCUUGAGCUCGCGCGUCGCCUCUCCUGUCUUGCCCCGGCGAGCUCUGGGCCGGCCACCGCCCUUCACCGCCGGAGUCGCGACCACCGUCGCCUCGCCGGCUCGCCACGCCGAGCAACAGAUUGAAGAGAGAGACGAGAAAAGAGGGGACAUAGAGAAGAUGACAUGUCAUACUGACAUGUGGGGGCCCACGCUGAGUCAACCGCCACGUGGGACAAAACCGCCGAGGGACCUAUUGUGACCGGUUUUGUAAGUUGGGGACACCGGAUAUCCGGUUUUGUGGUUGAGGGACGAUUUUGUAUCUGGCUAAUAAGUUGAGGGACCUAGCGUGUACUUUUUCCAACUACUCAGUCCUAGUUUGAAUGGGCUGAAAUCCCGGCCCAUUUUGCAGAAAGGAAAAUGGUUUUAGCCCAUUCCGCCAAAAAAUUUGCGUUUGCCGGGAGUCGAACCCGGGUCUAUUGCUUGGAAGGCAAUUAUCCUAACCGUUGGACUACAAACGCUUUCGCUGAUAUUGCGAAUCGUAAUAUUUUUAAAUUUUAUAAUUACGGCGCGUUGCACAACAGUACAAGUCCUUCUCUAAGGUGAAACACCUGGUUGAUUUUUCCAAGCCCAAAUGCCAAACUACCGCUGACUUUUAUAUUAUCCUAGUUUUGGUCUUCGUUGAGGUCGUCAAGCGACUAAAGCAGACAUAAACAGAAGACAAGAAAAGAAAAAUAAACACUCCAGCAAAUAACCUUGUCAAUGAGGUAGGCAACCUAACUCAACAAUCAUCUCACGGUCUUCCAUGACAUCUUUUUUGUGGUUAAUCUAUACAUAAAACACAUACAGAAUCCUGCAUUGACGUUUUAAACAAAACAAUAUUGGUUGCUUCAGAAAAAGGCCCCUCAAAUGCAACUUCCUUGGGAGACAUCUUGCUUAUCAUCAGGACCAAAGCCACAAUGCAACUGACGAGGCAAUGGAAAAGUACAAGACAGUCUAGUUUACCAUUAGCAUUCACCAAGGAUGUUCCCAUUGUUACUACACUAAACCUCUUUGUUUUGCUUAGUAAUGGCUGCAUAAAAAAAAGGUAGCGCGCUUUGUGUUAUCUGCUUGAAAAGGUAGCUCAUCUGACUGAUGACCAACGAACAAACUAACCACAGUCAAAAAAGAAGAAAAAAAAGAGUCUUGGCUACACAAAUAUGCCAUGUAUCUUUGCUUCAUUUGUCCAUCACUCUACCACUAUAAUGUCAGAAGCGAUGUGAUAAAAGUUUAAAGAGGUUGGGCAGCUGCUAUCUCGGCUCACAUCCGUCAUGCUGAAUGAUCUUGUCCGAAGCUUGAAGCAAGUGAAUGCCACUACAGUGUUUUUAGUUGACAUGUUGGGUUCAGAGGGGGACAGGAUCCGGGAAAUGCAGCGAUCAUACUAAUGAGAUGGUCUAGUACGUGCUUAACUGUGUCUCAUCCGUUCAGUUAGUCCCUGACAGCGAACUACGAGCAACGCAAGAAAAAAAAGGAUUGGUUACUUCAGCGAAUCGAUAAAUCGAUAAAUGCUGGAAGCCUGGAACAGUUCGGAUUCUGAAGAGAAACUGACGAUAAGAUCUUUCACUUCACCGCGUCAGUUUCCUUCCCUGCCUUUUGCCAGCAUAAAGGAACAAUAGAAAAUGACUCAUCAAGCCUUGCAGAAUUGCAGGCUUGCAGCAUCUUCCAAGAUCAGGCAGGGAAUCUGGAAUCUGCAACCUGCUUUCCUUUGACCAGAAAUGCAGUAGCACAACACACUCGGUUACGGUUACAUUUAGGCUGUGUUUAGUUCAGCGCAAACUUUAGAUUUUGGUUAAAAUUGGAGAUGAUGUGACUGAAAAGUUGUGUGUGUAUGACAGGUUGAUGUGAUGGAAAAUGACUGAAGUUUGGAUCCUAACUUUGGAUCUAAACACAGCCUUAACAAGCUGCAGUUCAGCCUUCAGGAGCAUAUGGCAACGGAGUUCGUCAGAGAAAAGAAGGCCAUAUGCCGAUCGAUGAAGCGUGCAAUAAGUAUAUCUGCAUGUUGGGUGAAGAAAGCGGCCAAGUUAUUGAGAUCAUAACGCAUCGGCACUGUGCCCAGUGGUACUGCAAAAAAGAUCAUAACGCCGAGUCGACCCUACAACUGCAAUUGUGCAAGCUCUGAAUGAAUGAUCGAUCGAGUUCGCCAUCCUACAUCCACAGUGUUUUGGUUUUCCCAUCAUCAAUCGAGUUCAUGACGACCCAUCCUGCCCCCUCCUCAAAUCAUACUGCAGGGAAUAUGCUCAGGAAAAUCAUCAUCUUAUGCAUAAUGAGAAAUUACUUUCUUGAAUUGCAGAUGCCAUUCACAGCAUGAAAUUGCUUUCUCGAAUGGAUUUUUUUUUUGUACUUUUAUUUGACACGGAUGAGAUGAGCUAGUAUACACAGAGGAUGAGUGAUGAGUUCUCUGAGUAUCAAGAAUUCAUCAUCGAGUGGAGUAGUAGAAUACACUUGGGAUUGAUUCGUCCAUUCACGGUUACAAAAAAACAUGAGGCGAACAUGUGUGUUAGCUAAGGCCAUACGAGCAGUAGUAUAGUACUAGCGGUGAGCUGGUUCUUGUCGUCGUCAAGCUUUCUGCAGGCUCCAGAUGCCAUGGAAGAUGUUCCUGAGCUUGCUCCCGCCAAGCUUCUUCACGAUCUUCUUGGCGUCCGUCACGUUCGUCUCUGCUAGCCUCUCGAGAUUCCUGCCAUUUUCGGACCCAAUUUGAUGACCAUUAGUGUUUGAAAACGAGGAAUUUGGCGAGAAUUUGUUUGAGGAUUUGUUGGUUACCUGAGAUGCUCCGAUGACAUGAUCUUCCGGCGGCCGGAGGUGCUGUCGCUGAGGUGCAUCAGGGUGGAGAGCAAGAAGCGCUUCGCCGGCGAGAGCUUCUCGUCGUCGGGGCCAAGCAGCUGCAGUACCUGCGCCACGUUGCGGUCUUCCUGGACGAACCGCUUCCGGUUGCGGUGCACGGACACCAUGGCGCAGAGCGCCUCCGCCGCCAUGUCCCGCGCCUCGAGCGACUUGGCGGCGUGGAGGAUGCUCACGAGCUCCGGCAUGAACCCGGCGUCGCCCAUGGCCUUCUUGGUGUCCUCCGAGGCGUGGCAUAGCCGGUGCGCCGCCUUCAGGGCGCAGUGCUGCAGCGUGGCGUCGCCGCUGCGGAGGAAGACGAGGACGCGGUCGAGGAAGCCGGCGGCGACGAGCCGGGAUGUCAAGGGUGGGGAGGAGAGGCAGAGCGCGUCGAUGGCGCGGAGCGCGACCUCCCGCGCCUUGGAGGAGCGCGGGGAGGCCGGGUCGAGCACGCUGACCAGGGACUCGACGGCGCCUUCCUGGAGCACGGCCUCCCUGACGGAGCUGUCGCCGGAGGCGAUGGCGGCGAGGAGCUCCAUCGCCUGGAUUUGCGCCGCCUCGUCCGCGGCGCCCCGGCAGAGCGACACGAGCACCGGAGCCGCGCCGGCCUCGGCCACCAUGUACUUUCUGAUCUCGUCGACGCCGGCGAGGCUCCUCAGCACACGGCAAGCCGCGCACACGAGCUCGCCGCCGCUGGCGGUGUAGUCGGCGCAGACGUUGAGCAAUGCCGUGACGCCGCCGUGCGCGGCGACGGCCCACGCGUUGUCGGAGUUCUCGGUGAGCUUGCACAGCAACCGCGCCGCCCGCUCCUUCGCCGAGGGCCUGUCCCCGGCACUGUCGAGGACACGGAUCACCGGAGCGAUGACGCCGCCGACGACAAGGUCGCCUCUGUAAGCCUCAAACCCGGCGAUCACGGAGACGGCCUCCAGGACCUCCUCCUGGACGCAGGCGUCGGGGCACUCGAGCAGCCAGACGAGGACGCAGACGCCGUCGGCGACGUCGGACACGACGACGCGGACGCACUUCUCGUCGUCGUGCAGCACCUCGGCGAGCGCGGCGGCGGCCUCCCCCCGCAUCUCGGCGCCGCCCACCCUGAGCCUCGCGAACAGGUCCCGCACGUAGAACCGCACGUCGUCGCGGCUGGCGCCGGCGCAGGGCCUCGACACGACGAGCGCCCGCGCCCGCGUCAGCGCGCCCGACGCGUACACCUCGUCCACCCGCGCCACGAGCGCGUCGAGCGUGCCCGCCACGACGUCGAGGUCGCUCCGCAGCCGCAGCUUCCCUCCCCCGUAGUGCCUCCCCUGGCUCCUCGGCACCAGCUCCGACGCCUCCCUCGCCGUCUCCACCACCGCCCCAAGAACCCCCGCCAACGCCCCAUGCCCCUCGCCGCCUUCACCGCCGCCGGUGGCUAUGUCGGCGAGGCCGGCGUGGAGCCGGUUGAGCCUGUCCCUGAUGAGCUGCCACUUGUACGGGAAGAGCGAAGCGGCCAAGGAGGCAGACACCAAACCGGUAAUGGCGUCGAGCGCCGCCGUGACACUCCCCUGCUCAUCUCGCUCCGCCGCCGCCGCCGUCGCCGCCUCUUCUCCCAUGCCUCCGACCACCUCACCCGCUAAGCUCAACGACGCAUUCUUGCAAAUGCGCGAAAUGGGAGGGAAGAGGAAGAAGCGGCGGAGGUAUAAGUACGUGUGAUAGCUGUAACUGGCAAUGGUGGUGGUGGUGGGUUAAUGGAGGUGGGCGGUGGCGCCCACCGUCGUGGGGAGAUGCGCCAGCGUGCGAGUGGAGUGAGGACGAAGGAGGAGGAGGCUGACCUGGGGAUCGGCGAGGUUUGGUUCGGUGCGGGCGCCGGGCGCGGGAGAAGAAGGAAGCGCGCCACGAGGGAAUGAAACAGUGGGGUGGCGUGGCGGGACGCGCGCUGCGCUUGGCGUGGCUCGCCGCCUCGGGUACAGAUCGCGUGACACACCCGAAAAAAUGCUGCGCGUACGCAGAUUGUGUCGUGUGGUGCCAAAGCCAUGGGUGUUAUGAACGGACGGUGGUAAAAUGAUCUGAAGGAUUGAUUUUGGUUGUAGUACUGUGGUAGUACUAUAUACUCGCUCCGUUUCAAAAUGUUUGACACCGUUAACUUUUUAGCAUAUGUUUGACCAUUCAUCUUAUUCAAAAAAUUUAAGUAAUUAUUUUUUCUUUUCAUAUCAUUUGAUUCAUUGUUAAAUAUACUUUUAUGUAUACAUAUAGUUUUGCAUAUUUCAUAAUUUUUUUUAAUAAGACGAACGGUGAAACAUGUGCUAAAAAAAUCAACGGUGUCAAACAUUUUAAAACGGAGGGAGUACGUACUUGUUUGGUAAUUGGCAGGUGAAAAAGCACAAAAAUAGUUGUCUAUGUUAAUGUCACAACGCUAAUAUUCUGUCUUAGCGCCGAUCAGCACAGUAGCCUUGUUAUGGGGAGAUUUGUUUUUUAUAAAAAGACCGUGGUAUCAUACUUAUAUUUCUUAUAUACUCAUAACAUAUCUAAUACUCCCUCCGUCCUAUAAUAUAGCAAUCUAAGAUGAGAUUUUAUUCUAGGACUAUGAAUCUGGACAUGAGGCAUGUCAGAUUCGUAGUUCUAGGAUAGGUAUAAUCACAUCCUAUAGUCCUAGGAUCUCGUGCUAUACAUUAUGGGACGGAGGGAGUAUAUAUUCUAUUUGCCUUGUAACGUAUAGUUUUUAUUGCAUAACAAAUGAUUGAUCAAUUUACUAUGAAGGCAAUAUUAGCAGUAUGAAAAGUUAAGUAUUUUACUUUACUUUUGUUAAUUUCAAGCUCCCCAACUUUAUCAAAAUAGUCAACAUUCUCCGGAUGAACAGGUUUUUUUGCCACCAAUUUUACCACGCUAUGUGAUAAAUAUGUUUAUUUGCUAUAUACCAUGGCUUAAAGAUAGUUUCAUGAUACAUGUAAAGUUAAAUGUGUAAUUUAAAUUUAAAGUAUCAUGGCUUAUAGUCUAUAGUUUUAUGAUAGUUUUGUCAAGAUAUUUAUAGUUUUUUCUUAAAAUAAAUUACUCUAAGUCUUCAUCUCACAUUUGCAUCUAUCUACCUUUCUUUGGCAAAAAAAGAGAGAAAGAAAUGGGUGUACACACAUGUACUGUGUUAGGUCCCUAGUACGUUGUCCCAAACUUUUUUUAUCCAAUACAGGUCAUUUACUCAUCUUGCUUGUGUACAUAGUACUCUAAGUUACUUUACCCCCACUAACUUUAAUUAACAAGAGUCGUUUAUAUUUCAGAGUUCGAAUUUGAAUUCUAGCAUGGUGUAUACAUUUCAACAUGCUACAAUGCUAAGAGGUUUCAAGUUUAAUUUGAAUUCCAACUUAGAAAUCUAAACACGGAAAAUUAUUAUAGCCACCAAUCGUAUGUUGUUCUAAGGCCUGAGCGAGCCCAUGCUCACGGAUAAUUGGAAGAGUAUGUUGAAGUGUGAAUUAUUAUCUUUUAUCGUCAGUCAAAACAUGUAAAAAUGAAAUAGACAUACAAAUAAACUUUAAAUGAUAAAUUUGAAGACUCCUGACCCUACGGCUGUGCUGAGAGAGUUACGGGGAACCAAGGCCCAACUAAUCCUUUGCUUCAAAGAUCUAGUGCAAUAACACCUGCAGGAAUACAAUGCUGGAGAUACCUUAAAUUUGUACUUAACCUUUGCUUAAAAACUUGAAUUAAUCCGAUCUAGGACAUGGCUUCUCCAAUGAGCACUAGUAGCAAGUACGAAUGCAAAUUCAGCCAAACAAUGACAUUUUUUUUUGAGGGACCGUCAUUAUUAUGGUAUGGUAUUUGACAUAAAACCCGACUAAAAAUAUUCGAAUUUUGAACCAUCGAAUAAUUUAAAGAUUCGUGCAAUACACAUUAAACCUAAGCCUACCCCUCCUCGCUUCAGCUAUCCAGCAUGGCCAUGAUGAAUUGGGAUCGAGUGCUACUUGCUAGAUACUCUCGGCUGCCGUCACCACCGCCCCACCAUGCCGCCUCUCGGUUGGCCAGAGCCUGGAGGGUAUCAACGGUGCUAGUGAGCACCCUUCCCCCUCCCCCAUCCUCCCUUCCUCAAGACAUGUGAAUCCCCAUUACCCGAUCCGCCUCCUCAUUACAAGUUUUGCUUUGCCUCACCACCAACGGCGCCCUGCCGCCCUUUUACAUCCCUGAGGCUUCGGCACCAUCGCCGACGCCUUGCCACCCGCCCAUAUCCAUCACCCGCCGCUGGGCCGUCGCCUCCCACGGUCAUCGCUCUAAGCCUAGCCCCUAUCUCCCUCCCUCACCCCAACCCGAGACCCUAAACCCUAACUCAUCGUCAGAAUUGGAGGAGUUGCAGAGGUCGCCGAUGCACAAAACGUGAAGCAAUCAUAAGGUCAGAAAUUUACAAGAUUUUCUGUAAAAUGCUAUUUAGCAAUUCCUUUUUUAAUAGAUAAACGACGAGACAAUGGAGAAAGCUGGCGAUAGAGAAAACUCUUCACAUGAGCCGAACCUACUGUAAGAUCCACUUGUAAGUAAUAGUUCAGUUGAUUUAUUUUAGUCAAGUGAUGUAUAAUAACACAAUCCACCCCCUACAAUCAUUCUCCCAUGUGUCAACAAACAACUAAAAAAAACCCAAACCCUGCAUGCAAGAUCACGGGAAAAAGCGUAACAUCAUUACAAUUUACAGCUUGGAUGUAGUAAUUUCAGAUGCAGCUAGCAAGUAGGGCACAGGUUCAUCCAGUUUACUCACCACCGAAUGGGCAUCAUGGCAAAGGCGAUCAAAUAGUGUCACAGGUCAACAGGAGCACAGCCCAGGCCUCAGUCACAGGAAUCAUGAGCCACUGAGCAAGCAUGCAAAUGUGCACUGAAAAUCUGAAACUUCUGAAGCCUGAAGCUGCAUGCCACUCGAUGCCAAAGAGGCCAAGUGACUGGAGGAUUCAUCGGUGAGCUUGCAAACAUAUAUUCUAGAACAACAUUUCAUAUCAAUCUCCUCAUCUCGGCGUUGGGAAUCCAUCAGGGUGGUAGCUUAGCUUGUCCUUUUUGGCGCCCAUGUGAGCUCUUCAUUUGGCUGCACCUCCCAUGGGGGCUAGCUGUGCUGUCUCUCACGAGAGAAGCUAACUUUAGUAUACUUUAGGUAGCAUGGAUAGGGUGGAUGUGAAGGAAGAAAGAGAGUAGAAGAAGAAAAGAUGAACAAAAAUUUGCUCAUUUGCAUGGCAAAGAUCACACGAAGCACACAGGAGGCUUGCCCUUGCUGAGAAGAAAAAGGCCCUUUCUUUUUCUUCUUUCUGAAGAUCUGAAGAAUUUUCAGUCAUGUGAGGCAAAUAACUAGUAGCUAGCCAAUUGGUUUCAGUUCAGUGUUCAUGCAUCAUGCAUGCCCAGGUCACUGUGAUUUCUGAAGCUGUAGCGAACUGAAGAUCAAAACAUUCCAUCAGAGAGCAGAAAUGAGUCCAGCUCGUCAUGAUUUUGCACUGUCACAGUCGAUUCUUCUUGUUGGAUUCUAUGAGCCCAUACAAGCUGGGGUUCUCCCCUCUUCCACAUGACUGCAACUGUAGACAUGCAGAAUAUUAGUGAUAAAAUCAAUAAUUGUUUCUUCCAAUUGCAAUUGUAGUGGUCACGUAUGCUUGAAAUGAUAUACUAGUACUGUUCUGCCCUUUAGAAGGAUAAGAGGCCAUAUCUCCAUAUAGAAAAAUAAAUCAAGUUCAGAAUGGGACCACUGGAAAUUGGCCAGGAAACAGAAGACCAUCAAAUUCUAGCCGACACUGUUUUAUCUUCAGAAUCUUGGAUUAAUACUUCUACAAAUACGUAGUACUACCAUUACAUGGUUUGGACAAAUGGACAAGGCAGUGUAAGGUGGAGUGGAAAAGAGAGUGAUUUACUUGCAACACGUGAUUGCUGAAUUUACUCUUCAAUUCUCAUCAUAGCUAGUGGCUUACAAAGUGCACACCUAAAGUUUUUUGGUCCCAAGAAAAGUAGUUGCAUGUGACAAAGUACCAAUGUCGCUAGUAAAUUAAUGUUUAGGAAGAAGAAAAGAAGAUCAAGAAAAAGAAAAAGGCUAAGUCAUACUAGAAUGCAGUAUCAAAAGUUUGUUCAUGAACAAGAAAAGGCUCCACUUUCUUGAGAAGAAUAAAGUUUGUAAGCCAAUAUCUCCUGCUGAAUUGCUGGAAUGCAUUGACUUGAAUUGACAUGGAUCAUCGGAAAAGAUUUUGGCCUCUAAUUGUCAAACCUAGGGCCUGCUUCUGUAGGUGCUUUGAGUGGCUCAAUGCUUUUGUCACAACACUGCUAGAAAUGUCUAAAGAUGUAAUGCAGUUAAUGCUGAAACAACCAUGAUUAGAAAGGACAAACUUUGACAGUUGAUGCCAUCCAAUGGUCCCUAUUAAUUACUCAAGAAUAGGUUAAGAAAAAGGCAUGUAAUCCAAAGUAACACAAGGGUGUUACUCAAAUCUGAUCCUUGCAUUGCUUUUACCAUCUUUAGUAAGAUUGUGUGGUAGCUGCCUUUCACUAUGAAAAGCCAAGAGAGACAGAUCGACAUAGUUGGGCCAGUACUGCUGAAGUUUAGCAAAAACAUUAUUGGCAAACUUAUGGAGAGUGUUUGUUAGCUUCAUUUAACCAACUGAAAGCAAACAGCCACCAACCAUUGAUCCAUCAUGCAUUCAUACAUACUUGAGUUGUCGCAGAUUGUCCCUGGCUGCUUCAUGAUCCAAUGAACCAUGCGUCUUUCGAACCAAUGGAUUAUGAACCAUCUUUAGUGUUCAUUAGCAGUUUAGCACUCUAUCCAACUUUUCAUUAGUGUUGCUAGUUCAAGUUAAGGAUCGGAGACUUGUGCCUUAUCGAGGAUUGUCAAGCGAGUACUACUACAGGUAGAAAUGGUAGUAGAAUUGAUCGGAAUUCACAAGGGUCCAUUUACUACUAGUAAUUGAGUUGGCUGUUUAUAUAUCAUCAAUCAGAGUAAAGAGAAAAAAAAGAGACCGCUAUAAAAGACACGAAUAUUAGGGAAGGACUUAAUAUCAAAUAAUUAGAAGGGGUGAGGCUUUGAACCCAGAUCAUCUAGCACACCACCUUGUAGAGUUAGCCAGAAGACCCCUUGACGUUUCUCAAAACAAAGAAAAAAGAGACCGCUAUAGCAAUGUCAUUCCAUCCGGACAUGAUGAUCCUAUAUACGUGUCAUAUCUGGUACUCAUCGAUGCCAGAUCUGGUACUUGUUAGUACCAAGCAGAUCAAUCGGUACCAACUGAUACCCAUUGGUGUCAGACCUGAGUUAAGAGGGGGAGAGGAGAUAGGGCAGCUUGAGGUCCACCACCUCGGCACGUAGAAGGACCUCUUCGUGACAUCUGCUCCCAUACCACCGUCACUUGUGCCGUUCCUGGUGCGAACAAGCUCGUUAUCGGGGAGGAGUGUUGGCUGCGCGCCUCGCGCAGUUACGCAUACCACGCGUGGUCACAGGGACUAGCUCCAUCCUUUAGUGUUUUCCAAAAAUAAAAGAUCUAUAUUAUUUCUUCACAUGAGUAUUAAUAUUUUUUUAGAAGCUCUAACUAGCAUAUCUUAUAUUGAUGAAGUCGCCAUAGGUGUCUUGAUGUCAAUGGGUACAUUAUCUUCUUUGAAAGAAUAAUUAGCCUUAAAUAUAAAAUAUAAGCACCCAUGCAUGUCAGCUUAGGACUUGAAUCCGGAUGAGUAGGUUCUAUCACAAGGAAGUGAAGGAAUCUAAUCAAUUGAGUUACGCUCGGUUCAUGGGUUGUUUAUUGCUAUAUAGUUGUUUCAAACAUAUUGUUGUACAAUUCUAUAACAAUAACUACCUCCAUUAUAAAAUAAGUUUACUUUUGUAUAUGAAGUAACUGAGUUACUAUAAUUUAUAAUAAAUCAAUAUAAUGCGGCUAUGAGUGCUGCCACAAUCAACCAUGUUGAUAUUUUUCUUUUCCUCCAAUUAACAUGAUAAUUUCUAAAGAUUUUCUUAUCUGUUGCUAAAUACGUAGAUAAUACUGUAAUACGUAGAUAAAUGUCAAUAACUUUUUUAAUUCAGAUUGCUUGUUUAGCUAUUACUUUAUUGCAGUUGAAAAAAAGAUAAUAUUCUUGGUGACAACAUGCCAGAUCAUGAAGCAAGAUCAUGGAAUAGAAUGAAUAAUCGAGAUCCGAAAUUGAUGAAACCUAGGCCACACUGUUCUUAGAACAAUAUUAAUUGUGCACAGGAUCUUUGGGGUCCAAGUGAUGCUACCGUGAACUAUAAGCAGGGUUAUAUAAGUUUUAAAUAAACUGUAGUGGGCUGUUUUGAUGAUUUCUUCACAGCCAAUAAACAGCCCAAGGAGUUCAAUCAAGUACCUGGUACAUUUGGCAAUAGAAAAGUGAUUAACUUGUUGCAUCAAGGCCAUUUCACAUGCUCUGCUUCAAUCCCAACACAAGAUCGGUAUGCACUCAAGAAAGCGAGGCAGACGAAUGGAUGAAGCCAAGAAUAUUUUUUAGGUUUGAGAGUACAAAUCAUCUAGCAGAAAACAUUAGACAGAAAAAUUGGAAAUGCCUUACAAUGUCCUGAUGCAAUUGCUUGUUCAGACAAAAACAAAGAAAGAUACACAUGAGACAAUUCUGAAUUCAAGUGCACAUGCAUAGAGAGAAUCACAACUCAAAACACAUACUACCUCCGUCUCUUGUCCAGAACCAUUCCCACAAGUCGUUUUUUUUUUAACGACGGAGAUAAAUAAGAAUAUAUAUACAUGCUACAAUUUUGGAGGUGAAUAGUGAAUUUCCAUUCCUUAAGGGAUAUCUCUUCAUUUUGCACCUGUUAUUUAAACUAGAAUGGUAGCCCGCGCACAUGCGCGGGCACCUUCUUAUAUAAUGUGAGAAAAAUUUUAUUACGAAUAUUUUUGUGCGUGUGGAAACUAAAAUUAAACUUAUUUUGUGUGCUUUGGACACUGGUUAUUCUUUUUAUAAUUAUCCUUGCUAUAUAUAAAUUCUAAAAUAAAAUUACUUGAGAUCAUGCGGUUUUGAAUUGAUGAGAAAAUAUUGUGUCGAAACAUUGGAGGUGAUUUCUAUGAGAAAAUUUAGGGUAUUUUAACUCGUCAGAAGGAUAUCUUACAACCCCAAAAGAAAUCGAAUAAUAUUUUUUUGUUUGAUUGUAUUUUAAAAUUAUAUAUAUUUUUUUCAUUCUCACGGUCCUUGUAAAAUGUUUGAAUUUUUUUAUUAAAUAUGGGUUUUAAAUCCAGCGACAUUUGUUCAAUUUUCAAUUUAUUUUAUGUCCAUUUUUAUUUUUUAUUUUGGAUACUUUCAUUCUAUGAAUUAUCCUUGAAAUGAUUUGAUCUUUCCAAUUUGGGACGAAAAUAUUAGUGCAUAUAACUUGGCAUGGGGGUAAAGACAUACGUUCUAAAUUUUCUCUCAUGAAAUAUUGAAGUAAUGGUCAUAGUAUCUUUAGCUGAUCAAAGUGGAUUGUCUUAUAACAAACAUAUGUUUCUAGAUUGUUCUACGUCAAAACUUUACAAUGUACUGCAGCAAGUUUAACAAAAAAAUAAAAAAAAUGGACAUGGUCUUUAAUUCCUAUAAGGAACUGACUUGAUUUAUUGCUAAGGCCACUGCAAGGUUGUUCCGCUGUUAAGAUUUCUAGGUACAACCCACAUGCUAUGUUCAACCAACCACACUUUCCAACAUGUUGUCUAUAUUGCUAGAUAAAUACCUGCUAUGAUUAGUGACUUCAUAGAUCAUAUGUGUAAUUCGGACACUAUGAUCAUCUCUCUUAAAAGUAUUUAUUUAUCUCCUAAAAAGACUAUUUUAAAAGUAUCAAGGUCAAUUUGUAUAGGUUCGUAGCCUUCAUAUGCAUGUUAAGAGAAAUUAAUUAAGUUGGUACAAAGUGGUUAGAUGCCUAACGGGAUAUAAGUAAUAGAUGGAGGUCCAUUUGUGUUUUUUUGGCCCAUAUGGAUAAUUUUAAUUGUCAAGGAGAUAAAAAUAGAGAGAAGAAUGGUGCACGUUGUACACAGGUAGGGAGGGAGGUUUGGGACGUUUUCUAAAUAAUUAAUGUAACAACCUAAAAUAAUGUGUCAGAUGUUUAUGUCGAAACCGAUGGUUGGAUGUUUUGUUUUCUUAAGAGCAUAUAGAAGAUGUGUAAUGAACUUUUAACACCGUAUGCUGAAAAGGAGGGAGCGAAGGAGGUUUAGGGUGUUCUUUUUAAAAAAAUAUAUCUAAUGACCUAAAAUUAUGUGUCCAUCGAUUUAUGUCAAAUUCGAUUGUUGGAAUAUUUUUUUCUCCGAAAUUUCUAAGAUUUUUCUUUAAUUUAAGAACGUCAUAUAGCAGAUUAGAAGCAUUUAUAAGAUGUUUGAUAAAUUUUAACACCGCAUGAGGAUGGGAGGGAGGGAGGAAGGUUUGGGUUGUCUUCUUAUUAGAAAAUUAACAAAUAGAUACAGAAUGCUUUGUGUGUUUUUAGGAUUUUCUAGUAUUUUCUUUAAUUUAGUAGUACCAUGCAGCAGCUUAGUAGCAUUUGUAGUAUGUUUAGAGUGACAAAGCGAGAGUUGCUAGACCUAAUCGGUGGAGCUCUAUUUGUGGUUUUCUUAAUGUAAAAAUAAUUUUGAUUUUAAUUUGUCAUGAAGAUAGCUUGUUGGGACCUUCGUGAUGGGGAGGAUCCGGAUGUGUGCUUUUUUUUUUAGAAAAAAAAAAUCUAACCUUCUAAAAUAAAAUAACAGAUCACUGAUUUAAAUAAAAAAACGAUGGUCAAAUUAGAGUGCCACUUGAUAACUUAGGAGCGUUUGUAAGGUGCCACUUGGUGGCUUAGGAGUAUUUAUAGGAUAUUUAAUGAACUUUUAGUAUAUAAUAGUCUUUUUUUGAAAUUUCUAAGAUUUUAUUUAAUUUAAGUAUGUUAAAUAUAGUAGUUAAAGGUGUUUAUAAAAUGUGUAAUGGUUUUUAACACUGCAAGGGGGUGGAGAGAGAGGUUUGGGAUUUUUUAUUAAAAAAAUCUAACAACCUAAAUCCAUCAAUUUAAGUAGAAAUUGGAUGUUGGCUUCUUUGUAUUUUUUAAGAUUUUUUAAUACUUUCUCUAAUUUAAUAGCACCACGUAGCGAUUUAAAAGCGUUCGUAGGAUAUUUAAAGUGACGGAGGGAGGGCUGCUAGACCUAGUAGUUGGUCUAAUUGUAAUUUUUUUUGCCUAUAAGAAUAAUUUUGAUUUUAGUUUCUCAUAAAAUAGAAAAUAACAAAGGAAAGACAGAAGGGAAGUACGUACAGUACAGUAGAUACGUACGUUUGUACGUUGGUACCGUAUAUGUUGGUUUCAGAUGUUUUUUUUUACAAAAUAGAUCUAACCAUCCAAACAAUAGAUGGUUGGAUUUUUAUUUAUUAGAGUGCCACUUGACAACUUGAGAGCGUUUAUAGGGUGCCACUUGGCGGUAUGAGAGUGUUUAUAGGAAGUUUAAUGGACUUUUAGUAUGUAAUAGAUAGUCUAAAAAAUCUAAAAAGAAUAAUAAGAUGGACCAAUAUAUAACAUAAAUUCAAUAUAUACAAGUUAUACGAAAACAAAUACAUGCUUAUUUUUUAUAAUUUAUAAAUAUCAAAUUUGAACUUGUUUGUUGUGAAGCGAUAUAUUACAUAUUAAUCUACUCCCUCCGUAAAAAAAAAAGACAAACCCUGGUUUCCAUGCCCAACGUUUGACCGUCCGUCUUAUUUAAAAAAAUUGUGAAAAAAAAUUUAAAAGACAAGUCACGCAUAAAAUAUUAAUCAUAUUUUAUCAUCUAACAACAAUGAAAAUACGAAUUAUAAAAAAAUUUCAUAUAAGACGGACAGUCAAAGUUGAAUACAGAAAUCCAGGGUUUGCCUUUUUUUUUUUUUUGACGGAGGGAGUAUGUUGUAAAAAUAAUUCAUAUUUUUUAUUUUACUUUAUUUUAUUUUAUAGCAUGGAAAAACAAGAGUAUUUUCUCUUUAAGAGAUGGAAUUAUUUCCCCUUCAACUUUCGUAAGAAUCCUUCAUCCUUGUAUCUGACGCAACCCAACAUUUUGCAAAGAAAGGGCAGAUCCUCUUUCCACGUGAAUUGUAGUUGAUGCGAUGAAAAGCUGAAAAUUCGAAGGGGAAAUAACUCCCAUCUUCCUCAAAGGGAAUUCAGUUUGGAUGCUGCUAAAAAGUUGUCGAGGAUUUGUUCUGAAAAUGACAUCCUGCCACGGCAUGAUAAUUUGGCCGUAAUAUGCAAGAAGUACACCAUAUCUGACUCCGCCAUGAACGAUCAAGCGAUCAACUCCAGUUUCUGGUAGCACUUCCUCUGAGCUUUGAGACACACUAUGGCCUGGUUUAGUUAUCAACUUUUUUUUUCAAACUUCUAACUUUUUCAUCACAUCAAAACUUUUCUACACACAUAAACUUUCAAUUUUAGUCAAACUUCUAAUUUUAGCGUGGAACUAAAUACAGCCUAAGUCUUUGUUUAGUUCCACGCCAAAAUUGAAAGUUUGAUGAAAUUGGAACGAUGUGGCGGAAAAAUUAGAAGUUUAUAUGUGUAGAAAAGUUUAAUGUGAUGGAAAAGUUAAAAGUUUAAAGAUAAAAGUUAGGAACUAAGAAAAGACCUAACACAGUGUUCAGGAUAGACCCAUGCUAAAAUUAGGGGGUGUUUGGGCGGCUAUACAUAAGUCCCUCCCAUAAGACUUAUGAUCCUCUCUCCCAAACACCCCCUGUUCUAGACUUCAGACUUGUCAGUGCAGAACCGCGACAAAAAAUGCAGUAAAAGCAAACGAGACAAAACUGUCGGCUGUGCAAAGCUGACAGCGUCAGCCGCUCGACGACGCGGCGCACGAUAUUCACACCGGGCCACCGCCGCUGGCCACCAACGCCGGUGCGCCACCGUGCUGUACAGCCGAAGCCGACGACGACGCUUCUGCAGCUCAUCACUGCACCGUGCUCUGCUCUUCUCCCGUGUGAUGGAAAUGCGAACCGAAGAUUCUGAACCCCGUGGCAUUGAAGAGUCUGCUGGAAAUAGGUGCAGAUAUUCAGACAUGGCCUCUAAAAUCUGUCAUACAAAACCUUUCAAAUAAAAAGAACGAAAAACUGUAAUAUAACCAGAGUGACUGACAGUCUCAUACAGUACAAUUCAGGGGUAGAAUAAUACAGGCUCAAGGAUGAUAAAUUCAGUCAUCAGUACAGUACUAGAUUGGAAACUAAACUUUUGGUAAAGUAGUACGUGGCCGCCUGGGCGGGCGCGACCCUCUAGGAUGAGCACGCGGAUGCCGAAGCGGAGCAGCUGGCAGGAGGUGCGGCGAGGCUGGCGCCGACGACGAGCACGGAUGCGGCGAGGCGCUGCAGCGCAUUGGGGGAGAGAGAGAAGGGAGAGAGGCAGGAGGAAGAAGGAAGGAGACAGGGGAGGUCCCAUAUGUCAGUAGGCUUAAUUUUUUAUUGUGUGAAUGACUAAUGGGUCCCACAUAUUUUUUUAAUUCUAAUACCACGUAAUUGCCACGUGGAACAAAGACUCAGUCAAUAUCGCUAUGUAGGCGCCACGUCAGCAAAACAACCCUCCAAAACCGCUGAGGGAGUCAAAUUGCACCGGUUUUAACAGUUUAGGGGUCAAGAUAUCUGGUUUUGCGGUUUAGGGUUAUGAAUUAGAUUCGGGUCACAUUUAAGAGAGUCAAAGUGAACUUAUUCCUUAAUGUAGUAGUAGCAUCCAACACCAAAAAUGGGCUGAAUGCCUGAACCCACCAACCGAGGCAAAACAUCUCAUGGGCCAAAACCUGACAUGGAGGCCCAAUCUCCGAAUCAGGCGAAGCAGUUCGGUGGACGGUGGACCUAACCACGGACCACCCAACCUCCAACCGGGGCCAAGCUGCAAGCUCACUGCCAUGUUCCAAUCUCACUUUUUCCAUUCUCUUUUUCUGCACAGAUCAUUGUGAAAGUCUAUAAUGCAUGUACUCCUACUCCCUCCGAUCCACACUAUAAGAUAUUUUGAUCCCUUCAUCCCUCAUCUAAAUUUAUUAACAUCUGUAUAAAUUUAAACAUAUAUACAAAGCAUAUAUAUGUAUCCAUGCAUAAAUAUAUUCAGAAAAAAAAACAUCUUAUAAUAUAAAAGAGAGGAAGUACUCGACAAGAGGACGCUGUUUAUGCAGUCAGUGACAAGAAUCCAGUUAGGUGUGACACAGGAUAUGCGCAGCUGCUGUACCUACGAAAUUCUAUGCGGAUAUGCUGCCAAAAGAAAUAUCUGAAUUUUUGGAUGCCGUCGAGAUCAAGGGUCGCUGAAUCGAUGCAGUGCAUGCUCAUGUGCGGCUUGACAGGGACGGCGCUUGAUCUUUAGCUGUCGGUUCGGUAUGCUUGAGCUUCAGAUUCUUCCACAAAAACAGCGCAUCAAAGCAAUGCAUCCUGUGCUAGGUUGUGAGGAUGCUAGAUACAACGAAAGAGAAAGACCUGUUUGACUCAAAUUUUACUUCGAAUUCACCACAGAAAUGACAGAAAGCAGAAACUUCAAGUUCACCGCAGAACGACAGAAAGCUGAAACUAUGCGAAAUGGCAAUAUUUUACUUCCUCAGUCCUAAAAUAUAGCCAUUUUUAAGGUUGACAAAAGUAAGUAAGAAUGAUUGGAGAAAUUAUGUGACUGGUUGAAAAGAGAAAGUAGGUGAAGAAGAAUGGUUGUGAUUGGUUAAGAGAAGAAGGUAGGUGAAGAAAUAGCUUUAUUUUGAGACAAGACACUGUGCUAGAAAUAGCUAUAUUUUAAAAUGAAGGUAGUACAGCAGUAUUAAGUAGAAGCCAAAAAUAAACUGAAAAACAAAAAUUACUAUGCAACCAACUGCUUGUCUGCUUUUGUGCCUGUUUGGAGAGCUUCUGGUAGAAGCAAAUUCUUUCAUAAUCAAAAGCUUCUCUAAUCAGGCAAUUAGUGCAGCUAGAUUCUAAGAAGCUACAGAUACAAUCUAGAAAAUGAACCUAGAAUUCAGAAGCCGAAUUCCCAUCAGCUGCUUCUCGAGCUGGAUUCUGCAGAAGGGGCAUGCACAUACUCCUGCUAGUAGGUCGAUGACUGUGUAGCAUUGGGUUAUGAAGUCUGAACAAAUGUGGCAAGCCAACUUCCACGCCAAUACAUCCACCUACCAAGUAGGCUACCACAAAUGCAAUCAGUCACGAAUAAUUUCUGGGGCUCUUUUUCUCCAGAUGGGAUCGACGCAGCAUCAUCAAGACUCCGAACAAUUGCAAAAUCAGUCUAUAAAUUUGCUGCAGACAUUACAACUUUCUCAGAGAAAAAGGGAUUCCAAUCUUGUAAUGUUAAGUGGGACUCAAAGAUUGCAUCAUGAAAAAAAAAAUGGGUCACAGUGCUUGGUUUCACAGAUAAAAUGGGGGACAAAUGCAAUCAUCAAGACUUGAUUUCAAGUGACGAACAUAGCACAAGAAGUACUUACUGAAGUAGGAUCUGAAUUCUGAAGUUAUCAUAAUCUCAGAUGAACCAAACAAACAUUUUUUUUCUUCCCACUCUCAGUAUCUCGCCAUCCUAUAUGUACAUUGCAGCAAUCCAGUAAUUCAAGCCGUCUAAUUAACUUCAAGAACUCCAAUUCACACGCCGAAUCAGCACACUUUUUUUAAUUUGUUUGUCAGAAAUCAAAUUACCAAACCCAAAGGACCAAGAAAUCCCCAAGGAAAAAAAAAGAGAAGAAGACCUGAUAAUAAGAUUGUCCGGGCAAAAUAGGUAAGCAAUCCAUCAUCACCGGCACUUGGAGAUGUCGAUCUCGAUGAGGUUGUCCUCCUCCAGCUCGAUCUCGAUCAUCCCGUCGCCGUCGCGGUAGUCGUCGACGUCGUCGUCGCUGCCGCUGUAGCUGUCCGAGUCGGAGUCGGAGGUCCACGUGAGGCCCAUCUCCUCCGGCCCCCACUCCGCCUCGAACUCCUCGUGGAUCACCUCCAGCGCGCGCCCUUUCGCCGCCCACGACGACGCGAACUCCGUCUCCACGAACACGCUCGGGAGCUCGGGCGGCGUCGGCGUCGGCGCCGUCGGCGGCGGUGGGGGAGGAGGAGUAUCGGCGGCCUCCGGGACGGCUCGCUCGGGCGGAGGAGGAGGAGGAGGAGGAGGAGGGGUGGCCUCCGCGGGGGGAGGCGGCGGGGAGCCGAGGCGGAGGAGGGAGAGGAGGACGAGGAGGGAGGAGAGGGAGGCGGGGGAGAGGAGGAGCGGGAGGAGCGGCCGCGGGAGAUAGAGGAAGGCGAGGAGGGAGGCGGCGGCGGCGGCCGCGAGGAGCGGGUGGUGCUGCCGCUGCUCGCCGCCGGCGAGGUCCUGCGGCGGCGGAGGGGGAGACGAGGAGGAGGAGGAGGAGGUGGUGGUGGCCAUUUAUGGCGGGAGAAGUGGGGCAGUUAAAGCCACCCCCCGCCAAGCCGGGUUUUUAUAUAGAAAUCAUAGAGAAGAACGGAAGAAGAGAGAAUCAGACAAGCCACACGCAAUGGAGUAGACCAGGAGUACUCACAAGAAGCUGAUACGGUGAGUACUCAUUUUGUUGCAAUCUAUAGAAAGUGACAAUUCACUCAUCAAUUUUAGAGUUCUAGUCUAAAAUAUAAAAACUCCUGUUAUAUAGUAUAAAAAUAUAUCAUCUGAUAUUAGAUUCUUAUAUUUUUUGAUGAAAGGAGUAGUUAGGUCAUUCAUCUAUAGUAUAGUAUACUAAACUUAGUGCAUAUCAUAGUAUAACUAAUCUAAACAAGAGAUGUAUCUAAUUUGUUAAUAACUUCUAUAUUAUCGUGCGAAGGGGUACUAACCAGGGUUCACCAAACCGUUUUGGGUGAAAUUACCGUCACCACAUGGUAUGGUGAUUAUCGCGGUAACCACACUGUUAUCGUGGUUUCAGCAACUGAGAAGAUUAUCGCACGUAGUAACCAUACGAUUUUGCAAACCUUGAUACUAACUAGCCACUGUAGUAUUAGAACUCUUUACUUCCCAGUUCAUUGUACUUUUCUCUCUCCUGUGAAGAGUGACCAUGUGAGAUGCCUUGCGAUCAAGCAUUUUCCAUCAUCCGAGGCAGUAAUUACCCCCCUUGAAUAUCACGGACCAAUGUCAAAGAGCCUCAAAGACAACAGGUCAAACGGCGUGGGCAGGGCAGGCAGGGAGCUCGAUGGCCGUACUAGCCGGCGUGCGGCGCGCGGCCACAGGAAAACGGAGCACCGGCCGGCAAAAUCGCCCGGUACGAAAGGCUGCACCGCCGGUUGCGUUGCGCGCGCGGAAAAGCGAAAAAAAAAAAACGGGGCAAAGCAGCGGGUGGGCGAGGCACAGAGGCAGGGGGGGUCCGAAUCCGCUGCAAUUGCAAGAUUAGCUCUUCCUUCUUCUGCCAUGCAUGUUCGUGUGUUGGGGUAGGCAUGGCAUGCUACCGUCUCCUUUGAGUCAUUUCUUGCUUUCCUCGCUUGCUUUUCCUAGCGUCUAGGGGAUCUCUCGGUCCCAAUGAGAGAUUAAUAUAUAGUAUAGCCCACUACUAACUUCAAAUCAUCUAUAGCCAAUGUAAUAACCAAUUCAUACAAUAGUUACUUAUUAUACUAUUAAUACCUGGUCCCACCUGUCAUACACACAUUACGUCUUAGAGUCUGUACUGUAGCUGGUUACAGAUCUGUAACCGAUUACAGAUCUGUAGCCCGCUGUUUUUAUCUCUCUUCAAAAUAUGUUUAUAGCUAGCUUAUAGCCUGCUAUUGUACCUGCUAGGUUAGGGUGACAGUGACAUGGCUAUAUAGUGCUACACACACUUGCCCACAUUUUAAUUUUUUUUCCCCCGAACAAACCAGGAUGGUCACACACUCACACACACACGCCACUUGAAGCUGGUUGCAUGUGUAUUUUUCAUGUAUCACACGCUGCACAACUUGUUAUGGAAUUGAGGUGCUGAGCUGUUUGUUGUUACUCUGGCCCAAACUAUACCUAAGAUCUUAGCUCUUCCUUCGACAGAAGAUUAGGUUCCUGAUUCUUGUAUGUAGCCGCAGCCUACAGUGAGGGGGUUUAUUGUGCAUUGGAGUUUGCAGGAAAAUGGAAGCUUUCGAGUGAAUUCACGCCGUACCUGCGAUCUAGGUUUCUGCUGCCGAUUUUUUGAAGACAGGAAGAUCCCUUGUGCUUGGGAAGUUAGGAUACUCUGCUCCUUGAGUUUACACUAGAGAUAAUUCUUCGUUCUAUGCCACUGACAGUAUAGAUUCUAGAAUAUACCCCUCACAGAGGUCAGUUCUAUAAUAUAUAAUCGGACACCUGAUUUUCUUCCUUACACGCCGAUGUCGCUAGUCAAUAUUUAGUCAAAUUCUGUUUAAGAGCCGGAAAAUAUCCAUUUUACAUUAAGGGUGUACUUAGUUUCACGCUAAAAUUGAAAGUUUGAUUAAAAUUGAAAGUUUGAAGAAAAAAGUUAGAAGUUUAUGUGUGUAGGAAAGUUUUGAUGUGAUAGAAAAGUUAGAAGUUUAAAGAAAAAGUUGGGAACUAAACAAGGGCUGACACCGAACUGCACGAAGUUUUGCUUUUCUUGUCGAAUCGUAUACAAAUUCUUUAAACUUGAGAUCAUUUUACCGGUACCAGUUAGAGUUACUCAGAUGCCUUAAUACUGGCACGGUACUAAAAACCUGCAUGUUUAUAUGUACCGGUGGUACGGGCUGCGAGUGCAAACAGAGAUGCUAUACAAUUUUGUGUACAAUAUGCUCUGGCGAUAACAUAUAUGGUGGUACAAGCUAGUACUAAUAUCUGGGUGUCAGACAAUUAUGCUACGCGUCGCCAAAUUUGUACUGCAAGUGUAGACACCGACUGUCCCCACGAGAUCCAUACAGGGAUACAGAAUUGGAGAAAUCGCCAUCGCACUCGUGCAAUCCAACAACACCAACUUUGCAAGAAGACGACGGUAGGAUAGUCAUCAUAGGAUGCGACGAUCGCCUACCCCUUUUUGCGAGUAAAAGUUGGAAUCUAGCGAAUCCCCUAGCCUUUUCCUUUCAUUAUUCAGACAUCGUUUGGUUGGGAGACAGAGAGUAGGAGGAUUUUUUUUUUGUUGGGUAGAUUUAUAGGUAUAAAGUCUUGACAUGUCAUAGCAGAUAUUUGAAGCAUUAAACGUAGAGUAGUAACAAAACAAAUUACAAAUUUCGCCUGUAAAAUAUGAAACAAAUUUAUUAAGUCUAAUUAAUUCGUCAUUAGCAAAUGUUUCCUGUAGCAGCAAUCAUGGAGCAAUUAGGAUUAAAAUAUUCGUCUCGCAAUUUACGCGCAAUCUGUAUAAUUAGUUAUUUUUUUCGUUUAUAUUCAAUACUCCAUGCAUGUAUCCAAACAUUUGAUGUGACAGGGUAAAAAAUUUUGGCAGGGGAUCUUAGGCCCUGUUUAGUUCCUGCAACAAAAAUUUUCACCAUGUCACAUCGAAUAUUUGGACACAUGCAUGAAGUAUUAAAUGUAGACAAAAGAAAUCAAUUACGCAGUUCGUCAGGAAAUUACGAGACGAAUCUUUUAAGCCUAAUUGCGCUAUUAUUUGACAAUAUUGUGCUAGAGUAAAUAUUUGCUAAUGGCGGGUUAAUUAUACUUAAUAAAUUCGUCUCGCAGUUUCCUAGCGGAAUCUAUAAUUUGUUUUGUUAUUAGACAACGUUUAACACUUCAAAUAUGUGUCCAUAUAUCCGAUGUGAUAUCACAAAACAAAUUUUUUUGAAAACUAAACCGGGCCUAAGAGCAUCUCCAACAGCCUCUCCAAAUCGGACUCUCCAAACACCCAUAUAGCCAACUCUCCAUCUAAUUUAGCUAGUCAAACUAGAUGCUCACUCCAACAGACUCUCUAUUAAUCCUCUCCAAAAUAAAAUCGGACCCACAUGUCAGCCUCUCUCCCCUCUUCUUCCUCUCUCUCUCUCUCCCCAUUCUUUCUCUUCCCUUCUUUUCCCCUUUCCUUCCUUCCCGUCGACAAGGCUGUUGCCGACGGCGGCCGACGCAUGGCGCGCGGUGGUGCGGUGACACUGAGGCGGGAGGCGGCGCUGGCGCCAUGAGGCGUGAGGUGGCGCGGGGAGGUGGGAGGCGGCGUUGGCAAGCGACGGCGACAACGAUUUGGGGUGGCGGCGACGGAGCUCGGGGUGGGGAUGGCGAUGGCGGUGGCGGCUCGCGACGACGACCUCGACGAAGACGACGGCGCCCCCGACAACCUCAACGACAUAGUGGAUGGUGAUGGCAACCUCGACGACGACGGCAGCCGCAACGGAUGGAUGAGAUGGCGAUGGAGGUUAGGCGGCCGGCGCCGAAGAGCGGCCCAUUCUUCCCCAUCUUGGCUCCUCCCUCGUCGUCGUCGCCAGCGCACCCUCCCUCACGGUGGCGGCGGCGGAAAUCGUACGGCGGUGAUGGCGCAGGGCGACGACGGGUGGGAGAAGGCGAUGGCGCGGGGCGGUGACAGGCAAUGGCGCGACGAUGUGGUGGGAUGCGGCACUCGAUCUGUGCGGUGAGGGUGAGAGGGGAAAGCGACGUGGGACCCACGGUUGGCGAACGGCUUUGGCAAGGAGGCAGGGUGGCCAAGUUUGGCCAGUCCGGGAGCUAAUUUGGCCAGCCGGAUGAUUUGGCCAUCCGAUUAGCCAGGCUGUUGAAGUGUAUUUUUUCAUCAAACUUGCUAAAUUUUAACUUGAAGAGUUAUCUAGCAAGUCUCUUGGAGAUGCUCUAAACAGGUGAAAAAUUUUGCAAAAAAACACUGUAGAACAUCGUUUGGUUGGGAAGAGUGCAUCGUUUAUCACUUGGCUGCUAGCUGUCGUGUCCAUGAACGAUGGACGAUGAUGCCCGCGAGCAGAGGCAAAUCCUCGUACGUGAGGUGAUGGGUCGACGGCAAGGUUUGUGCAGCCCGGCCAGACGGUCAAAAAGUCGAGAGACGAUCGAGAACAGCACACUGAUGACUGAUGAGACUUCGAGAGGUGCCCCCCAGAGACAAAAUCCACUUUAAUUGAGUAUCAAGCUAAACCAACACAGUGUUUUCUGGUCAGUGGACUGCUGCAGUACACCGCCACAACUACCACCGGUAGCCGUAGCCUUGUUGCCGAGUGAAAACUCGGUGAGUACUGGAGAAUGUAAGCAGCUGUUGCAACAAAUGUGGAUCACCUCACCUCACCUGAUCGUUAAAUGCGGUUAGAAAUCCAAGAGUAUUAAAUAUGUGAUCCGAAUUUUAGGCCUACAAUAUAUUCGGAUUAGUUAUCUAAUAGUACUCUACUUUAUAGGAUUAGUUUCCUAUUAGGACUUCUAGAUUUCUCCUAUAUAUAUCCCUUGUAAGCCGCACAUGGAGGGUGCGAUAUCCCCUGCGUUUGUAUCCAAUUCCUCUAUAGUGAUCAUUGCCGGUCGGCGCCCAUGGUUUUUUCCCGUAAGGGUUUUCCACGUAAAAUUCGUGUCUCCGUUGUGCAUCUAUUUUCAUAAUAAGUGGUAUCAGAGUUAUGAAAAUCCGUUCCACAAUUCCCCCGUUGUCGUGUUCGUCGUCUAUGUUGAGUUCAUCGUUCCGGCGAUAUCGAUCUACCCCACGGUGUCGUGGUGACUGGUGAGUUUUCGUCCAGUUGAAUUGAUCUGUUGCUGAGAUCGAUCUUUUCUGCUGCCGCAUAGAUCUGUUGGCUCAUCAAGUCCGACGCGGAGUCGGUAUUUUUGUGCGAGGAGAAAAAGGCGAUGCAGCAGCCGUCGUCCACGUCUACGCAGCCGCACGCGUCGAGGAAGCAGCAGCCGGUGUCAUCCUCGAGCACACACAGGUGGAGAAAAAUCAGAAGCCACCGAGAGCCAUUGCUUCUGUUCUGUUCACGUGAAUUAAUUUUCACAUACGGUUGGAAAUUUGGGGGACACGGAGUUUACCAGGAAUUCAAGUUCUGUGCAUUGCUUGGUUCUGUCAAGGUGAAUCCAAAUUCACUUUCAAUUGCUACGUUCACAAGCCAGAUUUACCAGGAGUUUAGAUACAGAGAUCAAAAUACUUCGUUUGAUGCACCUAGAGUGUUUUGUGUUUCUGCUAAGGUUUCAUAAAUUAUACCAGCAGAUUCAGGAUUUUAUUCCUAAGACGAGUUUGAAGUUUAAUCUACCGCUCCUGGAUUGAGAUGCAAUAUUCUCGUUAUGGCAAGCGAAGAUACAAGUUGGCGUAGCCAUCGAGGAGGAGAAGCAAGUAUUGCUGUGCACCGGAGAGAAAAAAAAAAGGCAACACAUUCAAGUCGUCGAGAGGGAGCCUCGCUCCUGUCUAGAUCACAAGGUGAUCAAAUUGUCCGGCGAAUUUUGCUACCAUUGUAUCCAAUGUACCAGAAGGUUUAUCAAGGGAUCUAAGUACUUCGUUUUGAGCACAACAGUUUCGCGUUUCUGCUAGGAUUCCAGAAAUUAAUGCCAGUAGAUUCAGGAUUUUAUCCCAUGGCGAGUUUGAAGUUUGUGCAUCAGUUUCGCGUCUUUGCUGGGUUCCACAAUGUCAUGCCAGCAGAUUCAGGAUUUAUUCCCAAUGGCGAGUUUUAAGUAUGGUCUACCUCUUCUGGAUCAAGGGUGUUAUGGAUUAAUAGUCCAAGUGACUAUUUGGCGCACAUUGAUUUUAUCAUCACGAGGUUCUUUGGAGAUUAAAGAUUUAUUAUGCUACAAGGGAAAUUCGUAUCAAGGUGGAGAUUGUUAAAUAUGUGAUCUAAAUUUUGGUCCCACAGUAUAUUCGGAUUAGUUAUCUAAUAGGACUCUACUUUAUAGGAUUAGUUUCCUAUUAGGACUCCUAGAUUUCUCCUAUAUAUAUUCCUUGUAAGCCGCACAGGGAGGGUGCGACAGCCCAAUGUAUCCCUUCGUUUGUAUCCAAUUCCUCUAUAGUGAUUAUUGCCGGUCGGCGCCCGUGGUUUUUUUCCGUAAGUGUUUUCCACGUAAAAUUCGUGUCUCCGUUGUGCAUCUAUUUUCAUAAAAAAGGAGCAAAGCAAGGACGCUUCGGCCGUGUCACCGUGAGUUUGUGGUGUGACCAGCGUACGUACGCCCGCCCGGGGCUCGGCGAGUUGGCGUGGCGACCACAAUAAUUCCGCGGCCCCCAAACCCAUGUGCCGCGCCAACACCACGGAAAUCCUCAAAAUCCCACACACUUUCGCCGUCUCCACCCGCACCGCACCACCAUCGAUCGAGCAGCCGGCACACCGGGGGCCACGGAUGCCGCGCUACGCGGUUGGUCAAACGAUCGACGAGACGGGAACCCGCGUCGUAGCUAGGCCGGGGAUGGGCACGCGCGUCACGGGACGGGACGCGGCCGUGCGCGGCGUGCGUGCGACCUGUACGUACCACGGUUGGUGGUGCACUUGGGCGGCUGGAGCCACGCGCGCGCCCAUGAGAAUGAUGAGAUAAUGCCAGGUUGCCAGGGCCGGCGGUGAGUACAGCGGCGAAUGGCGAAGCACACAUCUGCAUUGGUGCAUGUGGGGUUUGAUGGUGGCACGGAUAGGUGAAGUAUAGGUUGAACGCGUGCAUUAGCGGUGGUACGUACGAGCGCCUGAGCUGUGUAGGACACACCGGUAGCUAGUAGUACUAAUGCAUGCCAUAGGCCACGAUCGGAUCGGAGUUUUUUCUUUUCAGCUGAGAAAAUCGAUCGAUUGUCAGUAAUCGUUUUUUUUUUUUGGAAAUCAUCCGUUCAAAAAGUGCGAACUUUCAUAUUGAUAUGGCAUAAAAAAUAUAAAAUAAUAGCCUUAGAAGACUAAAUCAAGGGGAAAAAACCAUGCUUUAUGCCUAGACUUAGAUCAUUCAUUGCUAUGGGUUAAAUAUGUGAUCUGAAUUUCAACUAAUAAUAUGUUCUGAUUAGUUUCCAAUUAAUUCGGAGUAAGGACUCUAUACUUUCUCCUUUAUAUGUUUUUGUAAGCUCACCCUCCCUCUCGGAUCUCUUGACCACCAUAUUAGUGUUAUCGGAUGUCGCGCCCGUCGUCGGCUCAAGCCACCACAUCGAGCCCAUUGUCGUUGCCGAGAUCCGCCAGCCACCAUACUGAGUUGGGCGGCCAGUAUGCCGUACCACCGUCACUGCUUUCAGAUACUAGUCUUUUUCGCGUCCACCGUCGCCUUCCUAGGACAGAUGCGGCCGUACCUAUGCCGCCUCGUCUCUAUCACCAGCCUUGGCACACUCAGGGGAUCUAGUAUCCUUCACUGGGGAGGCCAGAUCUCGAUGGGAGGGGAGUAGAUCUUGUAAGGGAGACGCCUGAUCUAGCGAUGCGAGCUAGCCUUCACGUGCUGCCUCCAUUUGCGCAUCGUCUCCGCGCCGAGUACCCAACUGUCACGUGUCGUCUCCACCUUGCUUCGCCUCCACGCCCUCUACCCCACCGUCACCGCCUCCUCCGCUAGCAUCCCGUCGUUUGUCAGCUGAGGAGCGGCUGGAUUUGGGCGACGCUGCCUCACGAGCCGUCUCGGUAUCCAACUUGAAACGAAGACUUCGGGAGAGAGAGAGCCCCGCUAUCGUUGACCUUGUAGCCUGCUAGCUUUGCCGGUAAGCUGCUCAGGCGGCAGGAGGAGGGAGGGUGUGACAGCGACAAAAGUUUCCGUCGUACAGAUCAUCUCUAGGGUGGGAAUGACGCUCGACAAAGUGAAGUAUACGUCGAAUGCCAGUUGUCACUUGUCACAAAGGGUGCCGUGAGCUUGUGAUUUGCCUCGAUCUCAUGUACUACUCCAUCCGUCACAUUUUAAGUACAGAUUUGAAUUUCCGUAUCCAACAUUUGAUCAUCUGCCUUAUUCGAAAAAUUUAUAAAAAAAAACAAGUCACGCAUAAAGUAUUAUUCAUGUUUUAUCAUAUAAGAACAAUAAAAAUACUAAUCAUAAAAAAAGUAAAUAAGACGGACGGUUAAACGUUGGACACGAAAACCCACUGCCGCACUUAAAAUGGGACUGAGGGAGUAGAAUAUUGGAUUUUCGACGAGGUGAUUGAAUUUAGGCCCUGUUUCUUUCAGCUUGGGAUUAUUAUAAUCCAGAUUAUUGGGAGUAAGCUGAAAGAAACAGAUAACUUAUUGAAGUAGCUUUUUAUAAUCUGGAGCACAGCUUAUUAUAAUCUGAUAAGCUCAUUUAGGUGAGCUUUUUCCAGAUUAUUGGGUGAAAAAUUACCCACCAUUGCCACCCCACUUCCUUUUUAGACUUGCAAACCCAAUAAUCUAGGCUCUAAUAAUGUAGGAAAGAAACAACUAACCGCUUAUUCUACUACAGAUUAUAACAAUCUAAUUUAUAGUAAUCUGACUCAAUAAUCUAGUUAUAAUAAUCUCAAGCCGAAAGAAACAGGACCUUAAUCAUUCGCUACACGUCUUUCUCUGUACUAACUUGUUGCUAACUCAUACUGUAUGUUGUACGCAGUAUUUACUCUCACAAUUGGGUCAAAUUUACGGCGCAUUUACGAAUUGACGGCAGUUAGGGGCUGAAUUUUUGUACCCAUUCUUCGACCGAAUUAGGGGGUACCUUCAGACCGAAUUAAAUCGCAGUUGUGGGCCGGAUUUAUGACCACAUUUGGGCCAAUUUUACGCACAAUCAGUCGGUGUUUACACAAUCUAAGAAUAACACUUUAGGUUCCUCUCUGCUGCCGACUCUAAAAUUCACCCUAAAUCUUAAUACCAGAUAUAAUCCUCAAAUCCCAAAAUCAGUACAAAUAAGGUCCCAAAGCAGUUUAGAUGAUGGUUUCGGCCUAUAUGGCACCCAAGUGGCAUUGACAAAGUCAGAAAAACCGUGAAACUCACAUGUUCAGUUAAAAAUAGGAAAAUACAAAGGACUAGGCCACGUCAUCAUUCCCUCUCUUUUCCCUCUUAUGUCCCUUCCUCUCUCUCUCCCUUUCCUCCUCGUCGUGGACAUUGUCAUCAGCGGCGGUGGUGGCUGAACCGGCGAGGUGGAGGUGUGCCCGGGAGGACCUCACAGUCACGUACAAAGAGACUGACGUCAUGGGCCCACCGGACCCCUCGUCUUCUCCGGCGCGCGGCAUGCAGCUCCGCCGAGCCUAGUCUCAGUUCCAGCUCCGCAUCCGCUCCUUCGCCGUCAGCCCGCGGCUCCAACAUCAUCAGGUACAACAGACUGGAGUCACACAACACUGGGAAACCAUGCGCCUUCCGUGGCAACUGAAGUGACGGGUGCUUCUGCUUCUACCGCAGCAGGUUGCUCCAGUGAAGUAUCCAGGAUUAAAAAUUAGAGUAAAUUUCACGGAACUGUAUGUUUUGUGGUAUAAAUUGCAGAAAACUACAUACACUUUGACACUUGGUACUUAAGUAUAUAUAUUUUGGUUGUGUAGUUUCACAAAACCACACUAUCGAUGAAUGGAUUCACUCACGAGAUGACGUGGCUGUUUCACCUAGGACGAGGUCAUGGCAUCCUAUUAUCAGCUAUCACACGAAAUUAAUAGGAUGCUACGUCCUCAUCCUAGAUGGAACAACCAUGUCAUCUCACGGGUGAAUCCAUUCAUCGAUAAUAUGGUUUUGUGAAAUUAAGCUACCAAAAUAUAUAUACUUAAGUGUCAAGUGUCAAAAUGUGUGUGGUUUUCUGCAACUUGAACCAUAAAACAUGUAGUUUUAUGAAAUUUACUCUUAAGGGUAGGCUUGAGCUAAAAGAACUAAGUUAAUUUAUGGGUUUGCAUUAAUUUCUUAAAAAGAAAACAAUAGAAACAAAACGCAACGUCUUUUUCAACACUAGGGUCUAAGGUGGUGUUUGGAUCAGGUACUUAACUUUAGUCUUUAUAUUUAGACACUAAUUUAGAUUAUUAAAUAUAGACUACUUACAAAACUAAUUACAUAAAUGAAAGCUAAUUUGCGAGACAAUUUUUUUAAGCCUAAUUAAUUCAUAAUUAGAGAAUGUUUACUGUAGCAUAACAUAGGCUAAUCAUGGAUUAAUUAGGCUCAAUAGAUUCGUCUCGCUAAUUAGUCCAAGAUUAUGGAUAGGUUUUAUUAAUAGUCUACGUUUAAUAUUUAUAAUUAGUAUCCAAAUAUCCGAUGUGACAGGGAUUUAAAAGUUUUUUAAUCCCAUCUAAACAAAUUCUAAGUCGUUCGCCUUCUCCAGCAACUCGAUCGGGCACAGCGACGUGAUCACACACUUGCACGCAACGCACACAGAAUCAAAAGCAAUACAGAAAUCAUGCAUGCAUGGCACCAUCUCCACUUGUCUUAGCUGCAAUCAAUGUACCAAAUUACUCCCUCCGUUUUAAAAUAUUUGACACCGUUGACUUUUUAGUAUGUGUUUGAUCAUUCGUCUUAUUCAGAAAAUUUAACUAAUUAUUUAUUCUUUUCAUAUCAUUUGAUUCAUCGUUAAAUAUACUUUCAUUUACACAUAUAGUUUUACAUAUUUCACAAUUUUUUUUAAUAAGAUGAACGGUCAAACAUGUGCUAAAAAGUCAACGGUGUCAAACAUUUUAAAACGGAGGGAGUAAUUCAGUAAUUCUGUACUGUUCAGUAUUCAUGAGUGUAAGAGGCUAAGAGUGAUCAGAGUUCAGAGAUAUGUCUCAAAAAAGAUUUUGUUGAUGGUAAGUAUUACUUUCUCCGUUUCACAAUAUAAGACUUUCUAGUAUUAUCCACAUUAAUAUUAAUAUAGAUGCUAACGAAUAUAUAUAUAUAUAUAUAUAUAUAUAUAUAUAUAUAUAUAUAUAUAUAUAUCUCUAAAUAGUAGUCUAAAUUAUCCACGAAUCUCAAUGACCAAGAAAAAAAAGAAUUGGUAAUUAGUGCGUAGAAUACCAGGAAUCCAAAAGAGAGAUUUUUUCUUUUCUGCCUUAUUCAUUCAAUUCAUUUCAAAUAAGACGUAUCUUGUUCAAGCCAAUAAAUAGAGCUAGGGUUAGAGUUAAAGCAGCCAAUAGAAAACCGAAAUAACUAGUUAUAGUAAGCAUGAAAGGGUUAAAUUCCAUUUUUUUUACUACACUACAUAUGUUGGUAAAGCACUUACCUAACUUAUGGAAAAUUCAUAAUUCAUCGGUUAUUUUAGAUAAUACUUAAAAAACAAGAUAGAGUAAGAUACAGAAGUGUAAAAGAAAAUGGAUUCAUCAGAUGGGGCAUGAGUCCCUAAUUCCGAAUCAAGAGAUUUGCUGUGUAAUCUGUCAAUUGAGUAAAGUAAUAAUAUUAAGAACUAGAUCAGCUAACCCCAGUGAAAAAUAAAGAAUUGAAUUUGAAAAAGUUCUUUCUAUUUUGGUCUUUUUAAAUAGGAUGAUUUAACCUUC
rnacentral:lncRNA from 1 species